AAAUUGAGUAUAUGGAGACUGUGUUGAAAUUUAUGAUUUUAUAUGUUAUUGAAAUUGUGGCUUAUGACACUAUGGUAGCAUGAUGGCUAAAUUUUUGGGGUUGGCAUGAAAUAUAUGAACAAUUUUGGAUUGGUCUCGGUAGACUGGAUUAAAUUUUAUUCGCCAUAUUAAGCUACUGGAAAUUUUAUGGGUCUGGUGGUAUAUUAAACGGUCACUGCAGUGGUGGGGGUUUCCGUGGACUGCCUAUGAGAGGGGCACGGUAACUCAAUUAUAUACUUACCUCCGGGGGGAGAUGUUGGGUGAAGUAUCUCCUGAGGUAUGAUUUGAGUGCACCUCACGUUCGGGCCACCACGUGAGAGUGAGACUCAGCCAACGCCAAGGAACGGCUGUGUGUCAAAUGUGGAAACAUGUUUAUGGGUAUGGGUCAUUGAACAGCCUUGGCGGUCUCAGUGGGAAACAUGUAAUCAUAAUCUCACCCUUCUUCCUAUCCAUUUUUCUGGCUCAGGACAGUUUGUUGAUAGUUGAUUAAGACGAAAAUUAAUCUCGGAGUUGCAUCAUAGGAAGUAAGGGUUUGUAGCCCUACAUCUUCUUAGUUAGUUGGGGGCCCACGUGUCACUGAAAAAGUAAUUUUAUUCUUCAGUUAUUUGAUUUAAAGUAUAUAUGAAUAUAUUUAGCUUUUACACCAUGUUUUUGACGAGUUUUGUUAUUUUCGAAGAAAAAUUACGAAAAUGCCCCUGUGAGCCAGAAAGUAAUAUUUUAUUGUUUUGAUUUGGAAAUGACUUAUGAUUUUUUUUGAAAUGUGAAAUUUAAUAACUGUCACUCACUGGGGAGAUGCAGAAGCUGAUGCUAAGCCUUGCGGGAUUUCGAUCGGCAUUCGGGGUAAUGAGUGCCUAUCGGGACGUCGCGGCGGUUGUCACGGGCUAGAUGGGAGUUCCGGGUCGUGACAAACUCGGUUUCUAAACAUCAAUACUUUAUCCUCUCCGAAUUUGAACUCACUGACUCCACCAUUGGUCAGUUUCUGAAUUUUUUUUCUUAACUCAUCAUCAGACCUCUGAAUAUCCUGGACCUGAUCAAGUAACGAAGGUCGCACUAUGAAGCUUGCCAAUAAGGAUCCAUCCUCACCAUUUCUCAAUUGGACCCCAAGAGAUUUCAUCUCUAAUAAUGCUGAAAAAUAACAACUCUGAAGUGCUGUUAAAGACGAUGAAGACUUACGACUUAAGGCAUCAGCUACAACGUUCACCUUUCCCGGAUGAUAGUCUAUCACCAAGUCAUAAUUUUUUAUCAACUCCAACCAUCGCCUUUGCCUCAAAUUAAGCUCCUUCUGAGUGAGCAAAUUUUUUAAACUCUUGUGAUUUGUAAAUAUCCGACAAUGCUCACCAUACAAGUAAUGCCUUUAGAUUUUUAAAGCAAACACCACUACUGCUAACACUAAAUCAUGGGUAGGGUAAUUUGCUUCAUGCCUCUUUAGCUGUCUAGAAGCAUAAGCCACAACUUUUUCAUCUUGCAUUAAUACGCACCCCAACCCCAACUUUGAGGCAUCACUAUAUACUACAAAUCUCUUACCAUUAACAGGAAGUGUUAAAACGGGAGCAGAGGUUAACCGGUUCUUUAGCUCCUGAAAUCGAUUCUCACAAACAUCAUCCCACUCAAACUUAACUCCCUUACGAGUUAGACGGGUCAAAAGAGCUGCUAUUAAGAAAAAACCCUGAACAAACCUCCGAUAAUAAUCGACUAAUAUGAGGAAACUACGAAUCUCCGUCACUGUCUUAGGUUGCUCCCAUUGUAAAAUUGCCUCUAUCUUCUUGGGAUCAACAUAUAUUCCAGCUCUCGAUACUACGUGUCCCAAGAAUACCACUUCUUGUAACCAAAACUCACACUUCGAAAACUUUGCAUACAACUGUCUUUCUCGCAAAGUCUGUAAUACUAUACGCAAGUGGGUAGUGUGCUCAUCAUUAUCUCUCGAGUAAACCAGAAUAUUGUCAAUGAACACAAUAACAAACUUGUCCAAGUAAGGGUGGAACACCCUAUUCAUGAGAUCCAUAAAAGCUGCCGGUGCGUUAGUUAAUCCGAAAGGCAUGACCAAGAACUCAUAAUGACCGUACCGAGUCCUGAACGCUGUCUUGGGUACAUCUUAUUCUUUGAUCCUCAACUGAUGAUACCCAGACCUCAGAUCAACCUUAGAAAAUACUGUAGCUCCCUGUAAUUGAUUGAAAAGAUCAUCAAUCCUGGGUAACGGAUACUUGUUCUUAAUGGUCAUUCUGUUAAGCUAUCGGUAAUCUAUACAUAACCGAAGUGUACCAUCUUUUUUUUCACAAAUAAAAUCGAUGCUCCCCACGGAGAUAUACUAGGGCAUAUAAAACCCUUAUCCACUAACUCUUGCAAUUGUACUUUCAACUCCUUCAACUUUGCCGGAGCCAUUCUAUAUGGAGGAAUAGAGAUAGGGGCAAUACCCGAAAAUAAAUCAAUAGUGAAUUCUAACUCACGAUCGGGAGGAAGUCCCGGUAAUUCAUCAGGAAAUACAUCAGGGAACUCACUUACUACGGGGACGUUCUCUAACUUAGGUUCCUCCCUCGAUAUAUCAAUCACGUGAGCCAAGUAUGCUGGAUAUCCCUUUCGUACCAAUUUCAAAGCUUUGAGGGCCGAGAUUACACAAAACGGUAAUACUCGACGUUCCCCCUUAAAUACCACUUCUGCUUCCUCUAAACUCUGGAGAAUCACUUCUUUCUUAAAACAAUCCACCUUUGCUCGAUGAGUGGACAACCAAUCCAUACCCAAGAUCAAAUCAAAGUCCCGAAUCUCCAAAGGGAUUAAAUCACCCAUAAAUUCUUCUUCCCCAACUUUAAUACCACAGUCUCUAUAAUACGUAUUUCUUACUAACCGCUCGCCUAGAGAAGUAUGCACUAUAAUCUCUUCCUCUAAUGGUGAUAGGUUCCUAUCUGAGAAUGACGCAAAUGAUAUGCUCACGUAUGAUCUAUCGGAGCCUGAAUCUAUCAAAACAUGUGCAUCUCUAUCAAACACAAUCAUAGUACCUGUCGCUGUGCUAGGUCAAACUUGGGCUUCAUCCUCAGUCACUGCAAAAACCCUGGUCAAAAUCUAGGGCUGUGAUUUGGAAUAUGGCUGCUCUAGGGUAUUACUCCCCAUGCCUGACCGUAUCAUUGGGCCCUGUUUGGAUUGUGAUCCCGAAGUGUCUCUCCGCGGUAUACUAGAACGAGUCAGAGAAGUAGAAGUAGUUACUGUACCCCGUCUCAACUGAGGAUAAUCUCUCUUGUAUUGUCACGACCCGGAACCUGCCUCAGGCCCAUGACAAUCGCCGCGACGUCCCAAUUGACACUCAUUAUCCGGAAUGCCAACCGGAACCCCGCAAGGCUUACAUAUCAGUUUAUUUCCUUUCCUAUGAGCAAUCAUUGUUAAAUAUCGAGUUUUUAGAGAAUAUAUACUAUUUUAGAUCAAAAACAAUCAAAAUAAAAUUUUCGCCACACAAGGUUAUUUUGGUCAUUUUUUUCUCAAAAAUUUCGAAACUGGCUAAAACGUAAUGUACAAGUACAAAACACAUAAUUCAUAUUCAAAAUGAGUUUAAAAGUCUAAAAUCUUCAUUUAAAACGAAAUUACAGUUAUUUGAAUAUAAUAAGAAAAUAAAAGAAAUAUUAAGAAAAAUAUUCUAUUUUCUUAUAAAACAAUAUUUAUAGAGUUAUACGUGAAUAAUUUUUAUAGCGUAAAUACAUACUGAAAUACAGUAAGACAAAAUAUUUAAUUUAAUUUACAAUAACAAAAGGGCCCCCGAAUAAACAAAAGUAAAGAGGACUGUGAACCUACGAUUUGGAAAAUGCAGAUCCAAUGGUAGUCCUCGAUGAGAUCAGCUAUCUACAGUCUAUACUGAACCUGAAAUGGGUGGAAAGGAGUUGGGUGAGAUUUUGCAAUCCCAAUGAGUAAACAGACAUUAUCAUAAAUAUCUAAAGGCGAGUAAAAUGGAGGCAAGUUUAAACAACAAAUUUCAACCCAUUUCAUAAUGUUUUCAAUUUAUUUCUUAAACCAUAAAAUAUUUGUAAUUUACCAAAACAGUUGUUAAGGCUUAUGUCUUUUAUUAAAACAAGGCUCAAGCCAAAACUAAUCCUCGGGGAUACCUUGGCCGAGGCAUCUAACCGAGUCCGCCAAGGGUGUUAAAAUAUUCACACGUGAAACACAUUUUUAUUUUUAAAACCAGCCGUUCCUUGGCGUUGGCCGAGUUACACAUUCACGUGGGGGUUCGACGUGAAGUGAGCUCUAAUACUACCCCAGGAGUUACCCUCCUCGCCUCUACAACCGGAGUAACUAUAUAACUGGGUUUACCGUGCCCCUCUAAUAGGCAGUCCACGGAAACCCGUCACUGCAGUGACUAACCCACCAAUUUUAAUAAAAUUUCGACAGUAUAACGUGGCUUUUAUUUAUUUAUCCAGCCUGCAUAGUAAAAACAACUUACAUAAAUUUCCCAAUGCACUCACAAAAUAUAGCCACAUAUACUCAUUUCUCAUAAGCCAUUCCUAGGAAAAUAUAUAUUUUUCAAGUCAAUUUGCAGCCUCCAAUUACUCAAUUUCAUAAUCAAUACAAUAUAUUUUUAUUUGUCACAUUUAUUCCUAAAACAUCAAAAAUCCCGUUUUAAUCUCGUUUUCAUUUCAUAAAAUACAUAAAGGGCAUUUAAAAAUAAACUCUAGAUAAUUUACAAUAAUAAUAAGUUUACUCACCGUUUGUACAAACUAAAAGCUUUCUAAGCGCCCCGAUCACUACUCGUCGGGUACGACUUCUUUGCCUUUUCCGGAAGGCUCUCCUCCUAGACACAUUACAAAAAUUUACACAAUUCAUCACAUUGAUGCUAAAUCACUAUAUAAUUAACUUAAAUCCUAUACUAAUGCAUGGUAUGAAAUGCAAUAGCCUAAAACGGCUUAAACGCGGUAUUAACCUAUUUUUGGCACUUUGCCCGAUAAAUUGCUAACGCGCUCCAUUUUAGCUCUAAAUCAUCCCAUUCUCUCUCCAACAUUUCUAACCAUUAAAUAUCAGCCAAUAACCUUCUAAAAACAACAAAAUCAGCUCACUCCCUUCCUUGGAAAAUUCGGCCAAAAAUGGGACAUUAACUCGGUUAAUUUUCUACUUUGUUUUUCUAUCACGUUUAAUCGUUUUUCAUCAUUUUCUCUUCAUUUUCCUUAGAAUAAAAUCAAUUCAUCAUCAUUGUACAGCAUUGAGCAUCCAGCCAAGAGUGGGUAUUGUGAAAAUUUAAUGAUUUCUUGCCCAAUUUAAUUUCUAAACACAUUUAACUAACUAAAACUAUCAAUUUAACUAAAAAUCAAAACCUAAAAAUUUCAAUUUCUCUCCCCUAGAAUUUCGUCCAGCCCUUGAUAUCACUUUUUGAUCUCUCUCCUCAAGCAUGCUAAAUGGAAAUAAAGGCAUAGGAAAGGUAGAAAUCAAGCUAAAAUCGAAAAAUCUUACCGUUAGACGCGUAAACGGUCGAAAAUCGUGAAUUUCCCUUUGAAUUUUUUUGUUUCUCUUUGGUUUUUCUUUUUUUCUUCCUUUCCUCUCUAUUUCCUCUCUUGUUCUUCCUUAUGGCCAGCCAGCACUUAAAAUUUGGGUUAAAAUGGGCUGACUUUUCAUUAAAAUAAUAUUAUAUCAUUAAAAAAUGCCACAUGUCACUUUCCCAUUGGCCCAUUUUUAAAAUUUCAUCCAUUUGUUUUCAAAUUUUCACCAUACACUUGUCUCAUAUAUUCAUAGCUUAGAUAAAAUUCUCAGACUCAUCCAAAGUCUCGGUGGAGUAAUUUUUGAAAUUUAAACUUUUGCCCCCGUAAAAGUCAAAAAUUACAUUUUUGCCCCAAAAAUUGAAAAAUUGCCCAUAGACAUAUUUUUCAUCUCUUAUACUCAUACCAUUCUCCAAUUUGUCAAAUUUGAUCUAAAUUCUCUCAAAAUCUCAAAUUUUGUCCGUGGGUGGCAAAAUUACGAUUUUGCCCCUACACUCCAAAAAUCACCAGAAUUAAACUUUUUCACUUCCUAUCAUUAAAUUAUACUCCAAAUAGUUAAUCUUGGUCAAAAUUUUCACUUCAUGAUCAAAUUAUUAUCUUAGGUGGCAAAAUGAUGAUUUUGCCCUUGAAUAUCAAAAUUUCUAAUUUUACCCCAAAUGAACCCUCGAACUCCGAACAAUCAUUUUUAGUCAUUCUUGGACUAUAAAAUAUUAAAUUUUAUCCUAAAAUUCCUAUUUGAACUAGUUAGAGGUUAAAUCAACUCAAGUGUACCAUUAGGUACAAUACCGAGUUUCGUCUAUUCUUAGGUGCUUUUCCUAGCAUAAUAACAUACUACUCAGUGCAUGUAUGUCAUGACAUGUAUUUAUAGGGUCAGGUUUUACAUGUAUGCCCCUGUUGGUCGAAUUGAAAACACUUUACAGGCUGUCUAGAUGACCCAACAUGAAAUCCUCCGCAAUUACGGCAUCUGUCCAAUCCUCCUGAAGUCCCCCCUUGUCUACUCAUCACUGGCCGAUCAAAUCCAGAAGAUCUCGACUGUGACUGCUGAGAUGGAGGUCUAGUGGAUGCCAUAGACGCUGAGGUAGUACUUCCUGCAGUAGAUGUCGAAUCUCUGCCUCUCUUUGAAGACUGACCCGGGAACGUAGGCGGAUUCUUUCUCUUUGCGAACUCAGCUCGAAUCCGUCUAUUCUUAGUGGUGAGCUUCUUAGCCCGUAAGGCCAUCUGCACGACUUCCUUAUGUGGCUCCCUACUAGUCACUGUCAUCCGUUCCCUGAUCUCAUUAUGGAGCCCUUCCUCAAAAUAAUUGGCCUGAUCCUGCUCAGAUUUCACCAGAUCCUACACAUUAACAUCAACUCGUUAAAACGAGUCUCAUACUCCUCUACAGUUAGAUUUCCUUGUUUCAAGCUCAGAAAUUCUCUUUUCAUUUCUUUAUGAUGAAAGUAAGUAAAAUACUGACCAUCAAAUUCUCUGAGGAAGUCAAACCAUGUCUGAAGAGUAGUGGAACGGGACUUCACCGAAUUCCACCAAGUACGAGCCCUCUUCUCUAGUAAUCUAGUAGCCACCAUUAGCUUCAUAUCGUCAUCUAAUCUCAUAUCAGAAAGAGUCUCCGAAACUUGAUUAACCCAAUCUUUAGCUGCGGUCGCAUCCAACUCACUAGUAAAUGAGACGCAACCCAACUGUCUAGCUUCUUUCAAUUUCUUAGAAAUGGAGACGUCCGGUGUCUUGGGUGGAAUAGGAGGUGGUGGUACUAGGGCUGUUACAGGGGAAUCAACGGGUGGAACUGGACCAGCUUAAGCCUGGCCCGUAAGAGCAACGAGAAAAGCCGUUAAUGCUUGAGCUGCCUCGGGUGACAUGGCAGGUACGCAAGGAGUAGCAACAGGUGGUGGAGGAGGUAUAGGAAUGUCAGUAGACUUAGUAGUAGGAACUGCUCUAAAAGAAGAUGUAGCCGACUCCUCUUCUUUGGAAUGCGAUCGACUCUGUCUAGGGCGACCUCUUCCCCUACCGGUAGAUCUAGUGAUAGGUGGUAGCUCACGUCGAGGAGGCAUAAUGGUCUACAAAAAGAACGAAAUUGGUUUAGACUACUAAAGACUCUAUAUGCAAUUACAUGCAACUAACUAAUCUUAAUUGGGCCACACUGACAUUGUAAAUUAUUUUAAAAUAACUUUAAAUUCAAGAACUUUAAAAAUCAAAAACUUCUUUCAAAACCAUAAGUUUUUAAACCAAAAGUUCUGAUACCAACUGAAUUGUCACAACCCGGAACCUCCCUCGGGCCCAUGACAACCUCCGCGACGUCCCGAUUGACACUCAUUAUCUGGAAUGCUAAUCGGAACCCCGCAAGGCUAAUGAAUCAGUUUCUUGCCUUUCCUGUGAGCAAUCAUUGUUAAAUAUCGAGUUUUAAGAAAAUAUAAAUUAUUUUAGAUCGAAAACAAUCAAAAUAAAAUUUUCACCACAUAGGGGUAUUUUGGUCAUUUUUACCAAAAAAUUUGGAAACCUGAUAAAGAUACAACGUAUGGUAGAAAAAUAUCCACUGCCAAUUAAAAAUAAAUUUUUGUAAUUUAAAUCAUUCAUUUAGAGUGAAAAGUUGGCUAAUUAAACUAAAUAAAAAUAUUUGAGAAUAUAUUUCAUUUUCUUAUAAAAUAAUUUUUAUAAAACUAUACAUAAAUAAUUUUUGUAGCGUGAGAAUAAAAUAAAUUCACACAUACAAUAAUUUACAAAAUUAUAAUGUACAAUAAUAAUUACAAUGACAAGUGGCCCAUAAAUACACCCAGUAUUGGUGAUAGUAACCUAUUGUCUGUGGGAUAGAGGGGUUAACUGGAAUCCUCGAUAAAAUCGAAUAUCUACAAGCUACCACAGGCUUGAAAUGUUUGGAAAGGAGGUGGGUGAGAUUUUGCAAUCCCAAUGAGUAAACAAACAUUAUCAUAAAUAUCUAAAGGCGAGUAAAAUGGAGGCAAGUUUAAACAACAAAUCACAAACCAUUUCAUAAGGUUUUCAAUUUCUUUCUUAAACCAUAAAACAUUUGUAAUUUACCAAAACAGUUGUCAAGGCUUAUAACCUUUAUUAAAAACAUGGCUCAAGCCAAAAUCUAGUCCUCGGGGAUACCUUGGCAUAGGCAUCUAACCGAGUCCACCAAGGUUGUUAAGAUAUUUACAUGUUAAACACAUACUAGUUUUGAAAACAAACCGUUCCUUGGCGUUGGCCGAGUUACACAUUCACGUGGGGGUUCGACGUGAAGUGAACUCUAACACUACCCCGGGAGUUACCCUCCUCGCCUCUAAAACUGAAGUAACUAUGAAACUGGGUUUACCGUGCCCCUCUAAUAGGCAGUCCACGGAAACCCGUCACUGUAGUGACUAAACCCACCAAUUUUAAUAAAAUUUCGACAGUAUAACGUGGUUUUUAUUUAUUUAUCCAGCCUGCAUAGUAAAAGACAACUUACAUUAUAUUCCCAAUGCAGUUAUAAAAUAUAGCCACAUAUACUCAUAUAUCAUAAGCCAUUCAUAAGAAAAUAUAUUUUUCAAGACAAUUGGUAACCUCCAAUUACUCAAUUUCAUAAUCAACAGAAUAUAUUUUUAUUUGUCACAUUUAUUUCUAAAACAUCAAAAAUCCCAUUUUAAUCUCAUUUUUGUUUCAUAAAAUGCAUAAAGAGCAUUUAAAAAUAAACUCUAGAUAAUUUACAAUAAUAAUAGAUUUACUCACCGUUUGUACAAAUGAAAUGCUCUUUAAGUGCCCCGAUCACUGUUGGUCAGGUACGACUUCCUUGCCUUUACUGGAAGGCUCUCCUCCUAGACACAUUGCAAAAUUUACCCAAUUCACCACAUUGAUGCUAAAUCACUAUAUAAUUGACUUAAAUCCUAUACUAAUUCAUGGUAUGAAAUGCAAUAGCCUAAAAUGGCUUAAACGCGGUAUUAACCUAUUUUUGGCACUUUACCCGAUAAAUUGUUAACGCGCUCCAUUUUAGCUCUAAAUCUCCCCAUUCUCUCUCCAACAUUUCUAACCAUUAAAUAUCAGCCAAUAACCUUCUAAAUUCACCAAAAUCAGUUCACUUUCCUCCUUGAAAAAUUCGACCAAAAAUGGGACAUUAACUCGGUAAAUUUUCUACUUUGUUGUUCUAUCACAUUUAACCAUUUUUCUUCAUUUUCUCUUCAUUUCUCUUAGAAUAAAAAUCAGAUCAUCAUCAUUGUACCUCAUUGCAGAUUCGACCAAGGGUGGGUAUUGGGAAUAUUUAAUGCUUUCUUGCCCAAUUUAAUUUCUAAACACAUUUAACUAACUAAAACUAUCAAUUUAACUAAAAAUCAAAACCUAAAAAUUUCAAUUUCUCCCCCAUUGAAAUUCGGCCAGCCCUUGAUGUCAUUUUUAGAUCUCUCUCCUCAAGCAUGCUAAAUGUAAACAAAGGCAUAGGAAAGGUAGAAAUCAAGCUAAAGUCAAAAAAUCUUACCGUUAGACACGUAAACGGGCGAAAAACGCGAAUUCCCCUUUGAAUUUUCUUGUUUCUCUUUGGUUUUUCUUUUUUUCUUCCUUUCCUCUCUAUUUUCUCUCUUGUUCUCCCUUAUGGCCUGCCAUCACUUAAAAUGGGGUUUAAAUGGACUGACUUUUCAUUAAAAUAAUAUUAAAUCAUUAAAAAGUGCCAUGUGUCACUUUCCCAUUGGCCCAUUUUUAAAAUUUCGUCUUUUAAACUUCAAUUUUUCACCACUUAACAUACCAUAGUUGUUCAUACCAAAAAUAAAUAAAUCCUAUGAUUUUGACAAGCUUUGGGUGGUGAAAAUUACGGUUUUUACCUCGAGACGACAAAAUUAUCAUUUUGCCCCUAUGUUUCGAAAAUUGCCGGAAUUGAAAAUUUUCACUUCCUAUCAUUAAAUUAUACUCCAAAAAGUUAAUCUUGGUAAAAAAUUUCACUCCAUGAUCAAAUUAUUAUCUUAGGUGGCAAAAUGAUGAUUUUUGCCCCUAAACAUCAAAAUUUUCAAUUUUACCCCUAAUGAACCCUCGAACUCCGAACAAUCAUUUUUAGUCAUUCCUGGACUAUAAAAUAUUAAAUUUCAUCCUACAAUUCCUAUUUGAACUAGUUCGAGGUUAAAUCAACUCAAGUGUACCGUUAGGUACGAUACCGGGUUUCAUAUAUUCUUAGGUGCUUUUCUAGCAUAAUAACAUGCUACUCAGUGCAUGUAUGUCAUGACAUGUGUUUAUAGGGUCGGAUUUUACAGUAUAGAUGAUAACUUCCAGUAGGGGAGAGGUUAAAACCAAUCAUCUCAACACAAAUGAUCACUUCCAAUAGGAGAGAGGUUCUAUACUUAAUGUCUGAACAAUGGAAAAAUAACACUUUAACACUUCUCUAGUACAGCGACUAGUUUUUUUUAUUAAUUUAUGACAUUUUAUGGUGUACAAUAUUGAAAAAGCAUUUUCCACUCUGCUUCACUAGUUCGUGGGAGCCAUAUGUAACACCCAUAAUUUUUGAUAUGAACUAUGUAAGGUGAACCAAGCUAACUAAUGAGCGAAAUUGAAUCUUUGGUGUAUAUGUUUAAGAAUUCAAAAAAUGACUAUGUCCAUAGAGAGAUGGUCAAGGAAUGUAUUAGUAUGUAAAAACCAAAAUAAUGUUAUGCAUAUGCUUGGCCCAUGAAUGAUAUAGUGCAUAUAUUUGGCACUAAGAUGAGUAUGAUAUGUAUGCAAAUUAUGCCAUGUUAAUUGAUAUGAUAUAUGACAUAGAGAAUGAAUGAGAGUUGGUGUGCAUGAUGGACUUAUGUGUUGAUUUUAAGUGAAACAUGAAUGAUUGGAGGUUGUGGGGAAGAUUUGGAAUGAUUUUAGGCUUCAAAAGACCAACUUUUAUGAAUUUGGACCUAAGGAUUUGAUCUUAGUGCACGUAGGAUCAAAUCUGCGAAGUAAAGAUUAGGUGUAAAUGAUAGCACUAGCCCAAGAUUGAGUACAGAACCCUUGUAGUUGAUCUUAGGGCAAUAAAUGAGAUUUAGGGUAAAAAGUCUAGUCCGAAAUCGAGUACCAAGCUCCCAUAGUUGAUCUUGAGGUGUCAAGUCAGCAAAAAUCGAGCUUUAAAGCCCUAAAAUCGAAAAAUCCUUCAUUUCUCCUAUUUCUUCAUUCUCUCAUCUGAAUUUUCUCAAAUUUCACCUCACUCAAAACCUUCACACUCUAAUGCGAGAUCUUAGAUUUGAAGAGCUAAAAGUGAGAGAUUUCACUCCAAAAAGCUUGUUUGAGGAUUUUCACUUUUUGUCUCUAAAACCAAACCCUAGCUUCCAAAAAUGAAUUUUUGAAGCACUUGGAAUUAUUUGGAGUAAAUAUGGAGCUAGGGAAUACUUCUAGAGGUAAGAUUGAGCACUUUGACCAAUUGAUUUUUUUGAACAAUUGGUAACUUAGAUUCAAAUUGAUAUAGCUUUGGUGAAAAAUAGCCCCCUUGAGUUGAUUGUAUAUUUGGGGUAAAUAAUAGCACAAUCCAACUUCUAAUGUAUGGAUUAGCUCAUUGUUGAAGGAUUUGAAUUCAUUUGUUGAGUUGCUAAAAAUUUAGCUAUUUUUAAAAAAGUUGGAAAUAAUCUGAAAGCUAAGAUUUGGUUAUGAAAUGAAAAGUUAUGGCAUAAAUGUUAAUGCUCAUGUAUUGUUGAUGCUAGAUGAUCAUGAGAAUGACAAUGAUGCUCAAGUACUAAGUGUACGAAUUAAAGCUAGGCAUAAGUGAGUUGCAAGUACAAGUGUUGACAAAAAACCCUUGGAUUGUCAAGGUAAGUGGGAAAACUUUUAUGCAUAGGAGCAUAAUGACUAGGGUGCAUAUAUGCUUUAAUAAUGAUAAUGCAUAAUGUAUGCCAUGUAUGAGCUAUGAGCAUGUCUAAAGGUAGAAUUCCUAGACUAGAAAGUAUGUGAAAAUGAUGUGAUACGCCUAAAGGGUUAUGCCUAGGCUAAUGAUGUUAAUAUGAAUGAGUACAUGAUGAAUACGUUUAGAAAUGCUAUGUCUAGACUAGUGAAUGCGAUGAGAAUUAUGGAAUCACCGAGAAGGAUUGUUUGAGGCUAAUUAAUUAACAUGUUAAUGAUUAUAUGCUUGAGAUGAGAAAUAAGGUAUGGUUACGAAUGAUUGAAUAUGUCAUGAUGACUAGUAUGAUGAAUUAUAAUUGUGUUGAGAAAUAUGUUUCGUCCGUGGAUGAUUCUGGACGAUGAUAUGAUGUGAGAUAUUUAUGUUUCGUCCAUGGAUGAUUCCAGAUGAUGAUUGAUGUGAGAUAUGUUGUUUAGUCCAUGGAGGAUUUCUGAACAAUGGGUAUUAUGAGGUUGAGUGUGUCCAUAUCCUUGUGACUAUGUAUGUUCCGGCGGCAGGGAUGGUUGUUUUGUCUCGCCUGUGAUUCCUGCUACAGUGCGAUGAUGACUACGUCCAUGCCUUGGGGACGAUGGUAAAUAAAGGCAGUGGUUGAAAAUCCCACCUACUCCAAAUGAUGAUUGUGAUGCCACCUGUGGAGAAUACUCUGGGUGAUGUCAUUCGUUGGGAUAUUGUCUCUUACAAAAAUUGUGAUGCCGUUCAUGGAGAGAUUGCAUCGGAUGAUGACUUUGAUAUUCUACCAUUAGCUUUAGCACUAGGUAUGAUUUGUUUCUCUAUCGGUUGGCCACCAUGCGUGAUUUGUUGAUAUCCAGGGGAGAACCAUUCUUUGAUAUGAUAGGAUGACUAUGCAGUGGCAUGCCUUAGAGUUUGAAAUGUGAAAUUUGUUAUAUGAUGUUAUGAAAUGAUAAUUAAUGUAAAGGCUUUAGAUAAGAGCCAUAUGUAAUUGAUAUAUGAUCAUGAUGUGUUCUAUGCUCAAAGAGCUUAUGAUUUAGCAUUGAAGUGGGCGCUUUAAGGUAGACGACCAUAUGGUGGGCUGAUUCGUAUGAUAAAUUAAACUAUUAAGAGGUUGUGUUGAUAAUGAUAUUAAAUGAGUAGGGUGAUGCUGAUUAUACCACCUUAGUAUGCUAAUAGCCAAAGAUAUGAAACGUAGUAUGGCUACCAUGAUUAUGAUAGGCUAUGCUCGACAGGUGACAACUGACUUGUCAUAUAUGUAUAUGUAUUAUGAUGUAUGAAAUGCAUACCUGAUAGAAGAUAUGUGUAGCAACUAUCACUGCACAUUUACAACUGUUUUAUGCUCCCACUCACUGAGUACUAGUGUGACUCACCCAUUUCGGUUGUAUUGUGCAGAUAAAUAGACAAGAAGGAUUAGUGGCUAAUGUUGUCAUCUAGACAAACAUGCAAUUUUGACAACUGGUAGGUUUUUUUGCUAAUGAACACUUUGUUGCGUCAUGGUUUGAGUCUUAGUCUAUGUACGCUUUUGUGAUGUAAAUAAAGUAUGUCAUAAAAGAAAUAUGAUGGCAUGCAAUUGCCCUAUGGAUGUUUAAUGCCUUAGUGAAUUAGCCAAUGUAUUGUUAUGUGUAUGUUAUGUUUAAGUCCUGAAAAUUAUUACGAGUUGAGAGACUAAUGCUAAAUGCUAAAGGAUUUAUGUUUAAUGAAAUGAUAUUGGCGAUGAGGCCUUAUGAUUCUAAUAUAUGUGUUUAUUAGGACUUAACUAUGAAGGCUUCCUCGAGUUUCGCGGGCUUGCUUGCCAGGCUCGUGCAUGCCAGUCAUAGCUCCCUAGAUUUGGGUGGUGACACUGUAGUUUCCAGGUGAGUGGAUUUAUUUUAUAUAAAAUUGGUUAGGAUCUAUAAUCGACUUCAAGUCUUCUUAUUCUUUUUAGAAUGGCUCUAAGUUUAAGGUAUCUCAUCAACACAAAACUUAUGCUGAUGGGGUUAAGGCUGAUGGGGUUAAGGGUGUUGGUGAUAAUUGUAUUUUAUAAAAUUAUUUUAGUCUAAUUUUGUUAUUAAAUAUUAGCUAAGUCCUCAAUUUUUAAUUAUAAUUUACUUAUUUUUAGUUAUUUUUUUAUAAUUAGCUUAUUUUUAAGUGAGUUAUUUUAAUUUUAUGUUAUUUCUUUUAAUUUGAUUGUUAUUUAUCAGUUUUUAUAUUUUUCGUAGAAGCUAAAGAAAUUGGGCUUAAUUUUGGAAAAUAAGGUGUUGAAAGAGCUCGAAGUCUAUUUGCAUAUGCUUCAGUGUUUUGGCCAUAACUCGCGCUACAGAACUCCAAAUGAUGCGAUUCUUGAACCAUUGGAAAGCUAAGAGACAAAGAUACAACUUUCAUGAGAUCAAUUUACCCAGUUAUACCUCAAAGAUAAAGAAAAUUACAUCAGAAAUGGUUGGAUGUACUAUGUUGGGAAUGGAUAUUUUUAAGGACUGACAAUUGAGUUUUUAGGCCUGUCAUUACACUUUUAAGCCCAAUUAAAUCAUAGGUCAAAUUAGGGAACUAUAGGUUAAGUUUAUUAGUAUAAAUAGGAAAUUUUUAAGAACAUUAAGGGAGAGAACUUUUGGGAGACUCAAGAAGCUAGAAGUUGAGGCUGAAACUUGGAGAGCAAGGCAUCAAAUAUUUGUUUUGUUUUCUUCCUUGGCUUUUAUUUUUCAUGUUCCUCUCAAUGGUUGAAAUUAUUAUAAUGUUACUUGUCUUUGCAAUCAUGAGUAGCUAAUUUUUUUUCUAGGAUUGCAAUUGAACUUACAUGUAAUUUAAAUUUUUAAUCUCUUUCUUACUUAUCUUUAAUAAGAUUUGAAUUAUUUAUUCCAAUUUGUUCUUAACGCUCCUAAUUGCUUGGCCACCAAUUAAAUUGAUUUAGGAAUCUAAACAAACUUGAGAAAGGGAGUUUAGUGUAGACUAAAAUUGGGAUAGCAUAUGAUCAUAUUAAUUGAUUUACGUAUAGGAUAGGGAUAUACCUAUAAGCCAUAGGUAUUCAAAUUAGAACCUAAACUUAAUGAAUCUAUUUCCAUUUCAAUUCACAUAGGGAUAUACUGUUUUGGCUAAAAUAGAUAUUUUUAUAAGAUGAGUAGAGAGACCCUUAUAAAUAAUUUAGGACUCUAAGUUAGAAAUUAAACCCAUUGAAAUAAAGAAAGAGAAGUAAAAUUUAGAUGAAGUGUGAGGGAUAUUGUAAUCCUAGGCUUGUUUGAUUUGAUAUUUACUCAAGUUAUUAUUAUUUUGAUUUUUCAUAGUUUAAAUUUUGGUUAAGUAUUUUUAGUUAGUUAAUUUAGUUAUUUGAUAUUGAUUAUUUGGAUAAGAUUAAAUUGUUCUAAUUUUAGUACUUAGUAAAAUUUUAGAUCAAUUUUCCGUUGGAUCGAUACUUUGCUUACUUAUAUACUAUNCCGUUUGGAUUCGAUACUUUGCUUACUUAUAUACUAUUUAUUCAAUACGUGUACUUGCGUAGUAGAAUUUUAACUGACAAGUUUGUAGCGUCGUUACCGGGGAGUUGUUUCUAAAAUUUAUGCUAAUACAAGUACUAAGCAAUUUAGUCUUACUUCAAAUUUUAUUUUUCUUGUUUUAAUAUUAGAUUUUGUUUGUUUGCAGAUAUUUUUGGUCAUUGUAUGCAAUAAAGAAACAACUUGAAUCUUAUUCUUUUUGAUCUUGAGAUAGAAAGAACUUUCAGAAGACAUCGAAGGGAAAAUUUGCAAGUUUUGGCUUUAAAUCAGACAAUGGUUGAGGAUAACAAUAACAAUGGCAAUAAUGCCAUGAAUCUGGUUUCCGAAGCAAAUAGAGCACUAUGAGAUUAUGUUGUUCCUCUUUUGCGAGGUUUGAACCAAAGCAUUAGGAGACCUUCCAUCAAUGCAAAUACUUUCGAAAUUAAACUAGCAUACAUUCAGAUGAUUUAGUCUUCAGUCUAGUUUGGUGGGUUAACCAGUGAUUAUCCUAAUUCUCAUUAGGUAAAUUUCCUAGAGAUUUGUGAUACCUUUAAAUACAAUGGAGUAACUGUUAAUGCUAUUAGAUUGAGAUUGUUUUCAUUUUCUCUGAGGCAUAAAGUAAAGAGCUAGCUUAAUUCACUGCUCAAUGGGUCUAUCACUACAUGGGAAGACUUGGCUCAAAAGUUUCUAGUAAAAUUUCUUUCACCUGCCAAGACUGCAAACAUGAGGAAUGAUAUCACCUCAUAUACACAAUUUAAUGAUGAAACCUUGUAUGAAGCUUGGGAGAGGUUUAAAGAACUACUGAGAAGAUGUCCUUAUCAUGAGAUUCCUGAAUGGUUGCAAGUUUAGACAUUCUACAAUGGGCUGGUUGGGUCAAUAAAAACCAUAAUUGAUGCUGCUACUGGUGGGGCAUUAAUGAGUAAGAAUGCUGCAGAUGCUUAUAAUUUGUUGGAAAAAAUGGUCUCAAAUAAUUAUCAAUGGCCUUUAGAAAGGUCUAGUCUGAGAAAAGCUGUUGGAGCUUAUGAAAUUGAUGCAUUUGGCACUUUAACUGCUCAAGAAGCUGCGCAAGUGGCUGCACUGUCCAAGAAGUUUGACACACUGAGAGUUCCUCUAGUUCAAAAUUCAUUUGUAGUUUGUGAGAUGUGUGGAGAUGGCCAUUCAAAUGAUCAAUGCCCAUACAAUUAUGAAUUAGUCCAAUUAUGGGGAAUUUGAAUAGACAGUAGAAUAACCCAUAUUCUAAUACUUAUAAUCCUGGUUGGAGAAACCACCCCAACUUUUCAUGGAAUAACAAUGCAGGGCCUUCUAAUCCAAAACCCAUCAUGCCUCCUGGUUUUCAACAAUAAGCUAGAAUCAGUCCAAUUUGUGGGGAACUUCAAUAAAUAGCAGAAUAACCCAUAUUCCAAUACUUAUAAUCCUAGUUGGAGAAACCAUCCCAACUUUUCAUGGAAUAACAAUGCAAGGCCUUCUAAUCCAAAACCUAUCACGCCUCUUGGUUUUCAACAACAAGCUAGACCAUAAAUUCCUGAAAAGAAGUCCCAAUUGGAAAAACUUCUCUUGUAAUAUAUAUCCAAGAUUGAUGCUAUAAUUCAAAGUCAAGGAGCCUCCUUGAGAAAUCUUGAGACCCAAGUGAGACAACUUGCAAAUUCCAUCAACAAUAGACCUCAAGGUUCCUUACCCAGUGACACACAAAUGAAUCCUAAAAGUAAGGAACAAUGCCAAGCAAUCACUUUAAGGAGUGGAAAAGAGAUUGAAGGGGUGAAUGGAAAAGUAGGUGAAUCUGAGAAUGAGCAUGUUGAUUAGGAAGGAAUGUGAGAAUUAGAUUGAAAUUGAGCAAAAAGAAGAUGACAAGGCUAAAAAUCAAAGAACCUCUCAAGUCAUCCAUCCUCCACCACCUUUUACCCAAAAGUAAAAGCUUGAAAAGUAAUUUCAAAAGUUCCUCAAGGUCUUCAAGAAAUUACACAUAAAUAUUCCUUUUGCUGAAGCUUUGGAACAAAUGCCUAGCUAUGUCAAGUUCUUGAAGGACAUCCUCUCCAAAAAGAGAAAGCUAGGUGAGUUUGAAACUAUCUCCCUUACAGAAGAGUGUAAUGCAAUUCUCCAAAAUAAAUUACCACCAAAACUCAAAGAUCUAGGUAGUUUCACAAUCCCUUGCACUAUUGGUAAUUUAUUUUUUGCAAAAGCAUUGAGUGAUUUAGGUGCAAGUAUCAAUUUAAUGCCUUGGUCAAUUUUUGAGAAACUUGGCUUGGGGGAAUGCAAACCCACUUCUGUUACUUUACAACUGGUUGAUCAUUCUUAUGUGUACCCAAGGAGAAUUAUGGAAAAUGUUCUUGUCAAGGUAGAUAAAUUUAUUUUUCCAAUUGAUUUUAUAAUUCUUGACAUGGAAAAUCAUCCUUAAGAAGCCAUUCUUAACAACUGUUAGAGCUUUGAUUGAUGUUGAAAAAGGUGAGCUUACUUUAAGAGUUCAAGACCAACAUAUAACAUUUAAUAUUUUCUAAGCUUUUGAAAUUGCCUGUGACAUCUAAAGACUGCUUUUUGUGAGUGUGGUAAAUAACUUUACACAAGAUGUUUUCUUAGAAGAAAAUCCCAAUGAUCCUCUUGAAGCAUGUUUAGUUGCUAAUUCUGAAAUGGAUGAUGAUGAAUUUAUUGAAUAUUUAAAUUUGUUAAAUGCUCACUCUAGAUUUAAAACUAAUCAUCAAUUUGAAUCUUUAGAUGUUUCAGCUUCUUUGAUGCCAGCUUCUAAGCCCUCAAUUGAGGAACCACCUACUUUGGAACUUAAACCUUUGUCUGUACACUUGAGGUAUGCUUUUCUUGGAAAAUCUUCUACUCUUCUAGUUAGUAUUUCUACUGCUCUUACUAACAUGUAAGAGGAGAAGUUAUUAAGGACACUUAGAGAAUUCAAGAAAGUAAUAGGGUGGACCAUAGCUAAUAUUAAAGGAAUUAGCCAUUCGUUUUGCAUGCACAAAAUUCUCCUUGAUGAAAAUCACAAAGCGACAAUUGAACAGCAAAAAAGAUUGAAUCUUAUCAUGAAAAUAGUAGUCAAGAAAGAAAUCAUUAAGUGGUUGGAUGCCAGAAUAAUUUAUCUUAUUUAUGAUAGCUCAUGGGUAAGUCCAGUUCAAUGUGUUCCUAAGAAAGGAGGAAUGACUGUGGUUUCCAAUGACAAUAAUGAGCUCAUUCCAACAAGAGCUGUGACUGGAUGGAGAGUGUGCAUGGACUACCAUAAGCUCAACAAAGCUACAAGGAAAGAUCACAUCCCUUUUCCAUUCAUUGAUCAAAUGUUGGAUCGUCUGGCUGGUAAGGAAUAUUAUUGUUUUCUAGAUGGUUACUUUGGUUAUAACCAAAUUGUUAUUGCUCCUGAAGAUCAAGAAAAGACUACAUUUACAUGUCCUUAUGGCACUUUUGCUUUUAGAAGAAUGCCAUUUGGAUUAUGUAAUGCACUUGCCACCUUUCAGAGAUAUAUGAUAGCCAUGUUCACAAACAUGGUGGAGAAAUGUUUGGAGGUAUUUAUGAAUGAUUUUUCUAUCUUUGGAAAUAAUUUUGAUGAUUGUCUCUUAAAUUUUGCUAGGGUACUUAAGAGAUGUGAAGAAACAAAUUUGGUGCUUAAUUGGGAGAAAUGUCACUUCAUGGUGCGAGAAGGUAUUGUUCUUGGGCACAAGAUCUCUAAUAGAGGCAUUGAGGUAAAGAAAGCAAAAAUUGAAGCAAUUGAGAAAUUACCACCUCCAAUAAAUGUCAAAGGUAUUAGAAGUUUUCUUCGUCAUGCUGGUUUUAUAGAAGAUUUAUUAAAGACUUUUCAAAAAUUUCUAAACUACUUUGCAACUUAUUGGAAAAAAAUGUGCCAUUUAAGUUUGAUAACGAAUAUCUUAUUGCUUUUGAUGAAUUGAAGAAAAGAUUAAUAUCUACACCUAUCAUAAUUAGUCCCAAUUGUACUUUCCUUUUUGAACUAAUGUGUGAUGCGAGUGAUUAUGUGGUGGGAGCUAUUUUAGGACAAAAGAAAGAUAAAAUCUUUCAUUCCAUCUAUUAUGCUGGCAAGACUUUGACUGAAGCCCCAGAAAAAUUAUACUACAACAAAAAAUGAGCUUUUGGCUGUAGUUUUUGCUUUUGACAAAUUUUGCUCCCAUCUUGUAGGGACAAAGGUGAUAGUAUUCACUGCUCACUCAGCUAUCAAAUAUUUGAUUGCUAAGAAAGAUGCCAAGCCAAGAUUGAUAAGGUGGAUUCUCUUGCUUUAAGAACUUGAUCUUGAGAUUUGUGAUCGAAAAUGAACAAAAAAUCAAGUGGCAGACCACCUCUCAAGAUUGAAGAUUGAAGCUCGAGGUAAGAAUUCAACCUUAAUUAAGGAGACUUUCCCUGAUGAACAAUCCUUCAGGUUGGUAAGAAAUCACUUCUUUGGCAUGCUGAUUUUGUGAACUAUCUGGUAAGCAAUAUUAUUCCCUUUGAUUUAAAUUUUUAUCAGAAAAAGAAAUUUUUACAUGAUGUUAAAUUUUAUUUUUGGGAUGAGCCUUACUUGUUCAAGCAGUGUAAAGACUAGAUCUUUAGAAAAUGUGUCCUGGAAGAAGAAAUUCAAAGUGUGCUUCACGAUUGCCAUUCUUUAGAUUAUGGAAGACACUUUGGAGGAAUAAGGACUACUACUAAAGUCCUCCAAUCAGGUUUGUAUUGGCUUACAUUAUUUAAGGAUGAUCACAAGUUUGUUUUGCAUUGUGACAGGUGCCAAAGAGUGGGUAACAUCUCAAGGCAACAUGAGAUGCCUCUCAACAACAUCCUUGAGAUAGAAAUUUUUGAUGUAUGGGGUAUUAACUUCAUGGGUCCAUUCAUAUCUUCAUACAACAACAAAUACAUCUUGCUUGCUGUUGAUUAUGUCUCCAAGUAGGUUGAAGCGGCAGCCUUUCCUGAUAAUGAUUCAAAGGUGGUGAUGAAUUUUAUCCAGAAGAAUAUUUUCACUCUAUUUGGCACUCCAAGGGCAAUUAUUAGUGAUGAGGGGAGUCAUUUUUGCAACAAGUAUUUUGAUGCACUUCUGGCAAAAUAUGGAGUUAAACACAAGGUUGCAACUGCGUGCCAUCCUCAAACUAGUGGCCAAAUUAGAAGUAUCAAAUAGAGAAAUCAGAGGAUUUUGGAGAAAACAAUGUGUCCCAUAAGAAAAGAUUGGGCAAAAAGAUUGGAUGAUGCACUGUGGGCAUAUAAGAUUGGUUACAAGAUCCUAAUAGGUAUGUCUCCAUAUAAGUUGGUCUUUCACAAAGCUUGUCACUUACCGGUGGAACUUGAACACAAUGCUUGUUGGGCCGUGAAGAAGUUAAAUUUUGAUUUACAAGUAGUAGGUGAGCAAAGGUUGUUGCAAUUAAAUGAACUUGAUGAAUUUCGCGUUCAAGCUUAUGAGAAUGCCAAAUUCUAUAAAGAAAAACAAAGCAAUGGCAUGAUAAGAAGAUAGUGGAAAGAAGCUUUGAGCCAGGACAAUCAAUGUUGCUCUAUAAUUCUCGCUUGAAAUUAUUUUCGAAAAGCUCAAAUCAAGGUGGUCUGGUCAUUUAAUUGUCAAUGAAGCAUUUCCACAUGAAGAGGUACAGAUGGUCAAAAAUUUAAAGGCAAUGGAAAAAGAUUGAAGCAUUAUUGGGGAGGCGAAAUUAAUCGUCACAAGUCCUCAAUACACUUGCUUGACAUGGCCUAGAGUCCAAGUCAGUCCAGCCAAAGACUAUAAAUGAAGUGCUUCUUGGGAGGCAACCCAAGCUCCUCAACCUUACUUAUUUUUGUCUUCGUUAGUUAAAAUUUAUUUCUUUUAAUCAAUUUUUUUUUUAUGUUUCCUUUUGCAAGUUGGUUUCAAAAAAAAAAUUAAUAAUAAAAAAAGAGUUAGAGCCGUGGCCUUCAAAUUGAGGGUCGCGACCUUGAAAUGAGGCCACAAAGAGCUAAAAUAGAAUGUUUCACACCACAACCCUCAACGGGAGUGCCGCGGCAUUGGACGAAUCAGGGAACGAGCAACCAAACAAAACGUUUGAGCGUCGUGGCAUUAAAAACCAAAGCAUAAUGCUUCGGGUGGGAAUAGGUGAAAGCUGCGGCCCUCACUUGUGAGGGCCCUAGCACUGGAUCGAGGCCCAAUCCUAACCUUAUAAAAAACCUUCUUUUUCUUUCAUUCUUUCAUUCUUUUUUUCUCCAACCGCCAACCCCAUUCCCCAUCCUUCAUUCUCCUUCAAAACUCUUACCUUCUUCUUUCUUUUUCACUCCAAAUUUCUGCAUAUUAUUUCCACUUGGAUUUUUUUUUAAUUUUAAUUUUGAAAUCUUGCACUCAUUGCACUUCUAAGGUAAGUACUCCUUUUUCUCUUUUCCAAACACUUGGGUUUCAAUUAUUUUGUGCAAAGAGAGGAUGAGGAUGGUGUUAAUAGCAAAUUUUAUAAUUUUUGCACAUUGAAUGAGUCCAUUGUGCAUGAUUGUUAAUGAGUUUUCCUACUUCCUCACGGUUUAUGCUUGGAGUGCAUAAAAUUUUUAUGAUUAGUGCCAAAUUCUUGUUACCCAUAUAAUAGAUUCAUGGACAUUUUGUUUACUGAAAAUAUAAUUGAUAAAUGCUUUGUUGAUGUGAGUUGAUGAUGGGUUUGUCUAAUUUUUUAUGCUUGGUUAGGAGAGUAGAAAUAAAUUCUGGGAUUGUUGGUGCAACAACAUGCAAACUGAUAAUUUUGGAUAAGUGAUUUGUCAUAGAAUUAUUUUUUAUUUUUUUAUUUUUAUGUUGGACUGUUGGAUUGUGAAAUUUAUGAUUAUGAGAAUGUUGUCUGAAUAUUGUGAGGAAUAAAGAAUUUAUGUUGCAUCUUGCAGAGUGAGAAUGUAAAUGAAAUGAUUGAAUUUGGAUUGUUGAAUUGGAUAUAAAUUAAUGCUUGUGGUUCUUUCAUUUUUUGAUGGUUGUGCAUGCAACACUACUUGCAUAUUUUUACUUUGGUUUGUUUUGAUAAUUGGAUUUCUUUUGUAGGAAUGACACCCAAACGAUCCAAACCAAGCUCUAGUGGCGCCUUUGAUAGACCAAAGUUCAUCUCUACCGAUGCCUAUGCGCGAUAUCAUACAUCAUUGAUCAACAAAGUGCCAAUUCUUGAACCAGGGAUAGAUAUCCCCAUCCUUCCUUCUGAGGAUAUUGUCACAACCCAAUCCCGGGCCAUGAUCGGAGCAAGGGCCCAAUAGGCACAGCCCACUAGACCUAAGCAAGCCUUUCUAUAUGAACCUGUACAUUAGCCCAUCUAUCAUCCAUAUUUUUUUAAAAUCUAUAAUUCAUAAUAUUCAAAUAUAAUUUCUUUGAAAAGAAUUCAUAAAAUGCAAGUAUUUACUCAUAAUGGCAUCAUUGAUCAUAAUAUACAUAGAUAGUUUGACAAAAUGAAUCUUAGCAAUUCACAUUAAGUAUACAUAUAUACAUACAAUGACCCUAACCGUCAGCGGAGUGACUUUGGGCAUGGGUGCUAACAUUUAGUGGCAUGGUGAACCUACUGAAAGAUGAAUAGGAGGGAGCACCUUGACCUAGGACCCAACUACCUUCGAUCCUGAAACUAAAAUAUGAAUUUGAAAAGAAUGAGUAUAAACUUAGUGAGUGAACAUAGGAAGGGAACAAGCAACCAAUAUUGAAAGUUUUUGAAAACAUGAUGCAUUCGUUUUGAAAACAAUGCAAUUUUGUGUGCCAUAAACAAAACUCGAUGCCAUGUUGUCUUUUAACUCGUUUAAAACAUUUAAGAAAAUAAGCUUUCAACAUUCAAUACAAUCACAUAAUAUUUCCUUAACUUUUUCAUAGCAUAUAUAAACAUUUCUAUAGCAUAUAUAAACAUCUCUAUAGUGUAUAAAUAUAUAAACAUACAUGCAACCACCGGUCAUAAGCUCUUGUGCACUCCCUACACGCACAAGGCAAUAUCAUCAUGUGCACUCCCUACACGUACAUUUCAAUACCAUCACAUGCACUCCCGCCCACAUCAUUACUGGCAUUGUCAUGUGCACUCCCACACCGCACACGCACGGUUAUAUUAAUCAAUCAACAUUACAUUUCACAGAAUAACACACAUAUCAACACAUAACAAAAAUCUUUACAUAGUGCUAUAUCUCACAUAAUUCAUUAUUUUACUGGUCAUAAACAUAGUUGCACAAUCCAACACUCAACAAGAAUAACAUUAUUCAUUUUGCCAAUAAUUUAGGACAUCUCUAGAUUUCCAACACACACAUGCCACAAAUCAAUUGACAAAUCAACAUAACAUUCCAAGUACAUAACUCAUCACAUUAUUUAUUCAACCAUGUAAACGAAUUACUUGUGAAAAGCUUGUUCCCAUUCAUAAUUUUAAAUAAAAAAUCAACCAAGGAUAUUCAAAUAUUUUAUUCAAACACAUAUGAAUUUGUUCAAAGCAUUUUAAAUGCAAGUUCACUCACCUUAGGAUAGCGGGAUGUUACAUCGCUAUUAGUUCGGAGGCAUAUCUAGCUAUUGCUACUUGCCGGUCGCUCGCUAUUUCCUCUAGCAUGCUGCCACAGUACACUACCUUUACUUUUGUACUUCCUAGCAACAAUCCAAAUUCAAUAUCUUUAGUGUACCUCAUUUCUACUUCUCUUUUUCCUUCAAUCAUGAAUCCUUAUUCAACUAACUUAUAUCUUGACACAUUCUUUACCAAAGUGGCGUUUAUCCUUUACUUGCGUAAUUCUUUAGAUUAUGAAUACUAGCAACUUAUUUAUGACUCUAGCACAUAUAUAAAUCUUGUCUAAGGAUAUUUAUCAAGUUUAUCCAUCAUUUCCACAAUAAUUACCUAGCAUAUGGCAGCAACUAUAAAUUUACUUCCAUCAAACAUUUUUUAAGUUUACAUGUACCACAAUCCUCAUUUAUAUGUUGCCACCAAGCAUAACAUUAAUAUUCAUUCAUGCACACCAACAUCCAUAACCUUUUAAACCUUUCCUAACAACACAUAUCUACACACCAAACUUCCAAUUAAUAUACUUGCCUUCCAACCAUACCCCUGACAUCACAAUAACAUUACAUAUACAUACAAUCAUUCUCACAAUAUUAAACCAAUCAUAAGCUUCAAAUUGUAGCAUUAAGCUUACCACUUGGUUUUAACUUGGAUUUCACCCAACAAAAUUCAUAAUUUCCUCACACCCAUGGUCACCAUAGCUGCCACAAAAUGAUUGACACAUCAUUUUUUCAAAGAUUUAACCAACCAUGAGCUUAAAACACAAAAACGCUUACCUUAUGUUUCUUGAAUCUUGAGACCGACUUGAUAUUUCUUCAAUUACUCUUAAAUCACUUACUACCCAAGCCUUCCACCUUUCUCUCCUUUCUUUCCUGAGCUGAUUCUCUAUAUUUUUCUCUUCAAUUGCAUGGGAGUAAAGUGAAAAUAGGGUGGACGUAUGGAAAUGGCAUGGGAGGAAGGAGAUGGAGAAGAACAAAUGCCAUCUUGAAGAGAUAAGGAUCUACCAAGGAUAAGGAUGAAGAGUCAAAGCUUCCUUUGGAAGCUUUGACCACUUUAAUGGCAAAAUUACUAUUUUACCCCCUAAUGUUCUCACUAUUUUUAAUUGUAUGCUCCCACAAUCUUUUAAUUCCAAUUUCUUUCCAUUAUCUUCUUUUACACAUGCACAAACGAAAUAUAAAGUUUGUACUCCGACGUGGUGUCCCCAUAAUAUUUAAAAUAUUUAUUUACCCACGUUAUCUUUAUUUAAUAAAGGCAAGCGGGUCCCAUUAACGUCAUUUUUCUCUGAAAUAUCCUUGUUUGUCUUCUGUCCCACUUAGAUUGACCAUAUACUCCCUUUUUCAUGAAAAAUUUUGACACUGAAUAAAAUAUUAAUAUUUUAAUAUUAUUUUAUUAAUAAAAUAUUAUUAUAUUCUAAAAUUUCCCGCUUGCCUCCUUGGCACCCAAAAUACCUUAUUAUGCUUCAAUUCACUUCUGAAUCACUUUUUUUCUCGUAAAUUCUUCUCAGAUAAAAAUAUUAUUAUUUUAUUAUUAUUUCAUCACGUGUGAAAUAUUUUAUCUUAAAAUACUCUUUUCACCUUUCAUCACUUUUAAACAUUUCAAUUAACCUCAAUUAGCAUCCAAUAAGCUUUAUUAGCCACCAUAUCAAAGUACGGGAUAUUACAAUCUCCCCCACUUAAAUAGAAUUCGUCCUCGAAUUCUCUUCAACAUCGGGUUGUUAAUCUCACUCAAUGAUCAUAUUCCAUCUCCUUCUCCAUAGGGAAUUUGUUUUACGCACCUCAUUAUCUUCAAUUUGACUAGAACACUUUACAAGGUCAGAGUACGUAACUUAUAUCUAUUAUCAUCUUUGAGUCAAAACCACGGUACCCUUAUCAAUUGUUCUUUCUUAUCAUUAAGAUCCCAAGUAUGCCUUUAAUUCCAUCACUAACCUCAAACAUAUAUUUAUUUCAAUUCUUGUCAAACCUCUAGUCAUUCAUUCAUCUCGUUUACCUCCAGUUCGACUAGAAUGCUUCACUGAUGUUUGUUAUCAUCCUUUAGAAUCAAAUCAACGGUACCCUUCACGAUCAUUAUCUCUUAUUUUAAGACGUUGAGUAUGUCGUUAUCCCUAUCAUUAAAUGUGAACCAUAACUCCAUCUUAAUCAUACUGAUUUCAAUCACAUUUUAUACUCACUUAUGUAUACAAAUCACCAUCUUAUUACUUCAUUCCUUGUCAAACUUCUCAACAUUCAUUCAUUCAUCCUAUCUUAUCCUCAUACACUAUUAUAUAGCUUACAACAUCAUUAACAUGCCAUAUUUAUUCCUGUACAUAUUCCCAAUGUUGGGAGAGGUUAAUGACUUUAAUUAUUCCCACAUACUCAUUGUAAAGCCCGACCUUAUAAAAUACUUGUCAUGACAUACAUGUGAUGAUAGCAUGAUUGCAUGCUAGGAGAGUCUCGAAAAAUUUACAAAAGUAGGUAUUGUACCUAGAGGUACAACAAAGUUGAUUUAAGCCUCGAACUAGAUCAAAUAGAGAAUUUGAGAUGAAAUUAAGGAUAUUAAAGUACCAGAAUGGUUUAAUAUGGUGAUUUAGAGUUCGAGGAUCAAUUUGGAGUCAAACCAGAAUUUUCACUAUCUAGGGGCAAAAUGGUCAUUUGCCACUUGGGGACAAAAUGGGAAUUUUUAGAAAAGAUUUUUUGACCCCAUUUGACUUAUUAGAGUAUGAUUUGAGUAUUGGAGUAUGAUUUGAGGUUAAGAAGUGAAAAAAAUUGUAAUUUCAGUAUUUUUUAGAGCAUAGGGGUAAAAUGGUAAUUUUACCACCCCAAUGGCAAAAUUAUAAUUUUACACCACCAUGACAUUUUUCAAGCUCCAGAAUUUUGCCUAUUAUUAUUUUAUGCUAUGGAUAAAUAUUAGAGCAUUUGUGGUGGUGAGAAAAGGCUUAAAAAUUAAGUUAAAACAAGUGGACCAAUAAAAAGGUGACAUGUGUCAAAAAUUAAAUAUUUUUAUAUUGCCAUUUAAAAACCAGCCCACACUCUUCCACUCAGCAUUUCAAGGCCGACCAGCACCUGCAGAAAAGAGAAGAAAAGAAAAGAAAAACCCUAGGGAGGAAAAACUAAGGAAAAUUUGUUGAAUUUUCAAGAAAUUGGUGACUAAAGGUAAGAUUUUUAAUAUUAAGCUUGAAAUUCAUCUUGCCCAUGCAUUCUUUUCCAUUUUCCAUGAAUUAAAUUCAAGUUUUCAUGAGGGGCAAUAUGCUGGCCAGAUUUAGAGAGAGAAAGUUGGUGAUGAAUUUAGUUGAAUUUCAAGGUAACUUAGUGUUUUUAGGUGUUUAGUAACAUUUAGUAUGAAAAUUAAGCAAGAAAUCCACAUGCCCAUUAUAGAACCUAUCUUGGCUGAAUUUUAUGGGUGAGGAUUGAUGAUGAAUUUGGUUGUUUUUCAUGCCAUUUAGAUGUAUUUGGUGCUUAGGAAUACCGAAAAUCGAAAACGGGUACCGAAAAAUUUUACUCGCGUUAGUUAGCAAUUUGCACCAUAAUGAGGGAUAUUUUGGUAAUUGCACUUAGAAUAGAUUUUUAUUGAAGUGUGUGGAAUUUUGGGGAGUACUGGAAGUGCAAUAAAUUAAUUGGAAUCGAAUUGGACGUUUAGACCGAUUAAAUAGUGUAUAGUGCGCGAUAGGCCGAACACCUCCCAUUUCAUUGCAUGCAUUCAUAUAGAACAUAGAAUAGUUUUGUGACGAUUUAGCAUAAGUAUAUUAAAUUUCCUGUUACACAUUAUGUAUAGGUGGUGAGCCCUCGGAUAAGGGCAAAGGUAUUGCACCCGAGGAUCAAGACUAGGAGUGUUGUAAAUUCCCGUCAAAGUGAGUAACCACUGUUCAUCUUAUCUAUCUAGAGUAUUUUUACAAUCGUUUUUAUGAUUUUAAGAAUAUUGAACCUAAAUGAAUUUUAUGUUUUAUGACUAAUAAUCGAUUUAAGGAAUAAGGUUUAUGACUUAUUUUACAAUUCAAUAAUAUUUUUGAAAAUGUGAGUAUGUGGAGACCAACCUUUGAUGUUGCCUAUAUAUUUAAGUUUACGUACCUACGUUUGGAAUUGAUGAUUUAUGAACUGAUACGUGAUGACAUAUAUGGCUGGGUUUUUGGGUUGUGAAAUAUAUAAACUGUUUGUUUUCCUUUGACAGGUUGGGUAGUAUUAUGUUAGCCACGUUAUGCUGUCAAAAUUUUAUUGAUUGGUGGGUUAUUUAAUUAGUCAUUGCAGUAGGCGAGUUUCCAUGGACCAGCCUAUUAGAGGGGCACGGUAAACCCCGUUAUAUUUACCUUAGUAGGAAAGGCGCGAAGGAUAUCUCCUAAGGUAUGAUAGAGUUCACUUCACGCCGAGCCACCACUUGAAGAUGAACUCUGCCAACGCCAAGAGAUGGUUAAACUAUGUUUUUAUGAGUAGUUAUUAACUUAAUAACCUUGGCGAACUCAGUUGAAUGCCUCAGCCAAGGUAUUACCGAGAAUGUUUUUUUUUUUUGACACGAGCCAAGUUUUUAAGAAAAUCAUAAGUCGUGAUAUGUAUUAUAAUGAAAUAUGUUGUUUUAUAUGAUUUGAAACAAGUACAAAAUGUUGUGGAUUAUGGUAUGAUGAAAAGUUAACUGUCUCCAUUUACCGACUUUAGAUGUUAAUGAUGGACUUUGUUUACUCACUGAGUUUAUGAAACUCACCCUUUCUUUUUAACCAUUCAGGUUCAAGAUAGUCUGUAGGCAGUCGAUUUCAUCAAGGAUUUCUUUUGGACUUAUUUCCUUGAAAAUCAUAGGUCUACCUUCUUGCACACUUUUGGUUAUCUCAAGGCCCAUAUGCCACUGUAGGAUAAUUUUGAAUACCUAGUUUACUGUAUCACUAUGUGUAUGAAUUUAUUUUGUUCUCACGCUACAAAAAUUAUUUAUGCAUAGUUCUAUAAAAAUUGUUUUAUAAGAAAAUGAAAUAUAUUAUCGAAUAUUUUUAGUUAGUCUAAUUAGCCAACUUUUCACUCCAAAUAGAUGAUUUAGAUUACAAAAAUUUAUAUUCAAUCGGAAAUGGAUAUCUUUCUACCAUACAUUGUAUUUUUAUCAGGUCUCGAAAUUUUUAGGUAAAAAUGACCAAAAUACCCCUAUGUAGCGAAAAUUUUAUUUUGAUUGUUUUCGAUCUAAAAUAGUUUAUAUUCGCUUAAAACUCGAUAUUUAGUAACUAUUGCUCACAGGGGAAAUGGAAAACUGAUGCAAGAGUCUUGCGAGGUUUCGGUUGACAUACCGGGUAAUGAAUGAUUACAAAGACUUCGCGGCAGUUGUCACGGGCUCGAAGGGAGUGCCGGGUCAUGACACUCAUGUUUACCUUACAUUUUUGCAACUUCAAUCUUCUUAAUCAUAUUAGUCCAUCUUGUAUGGCUUAACCACGUUAUAGAUUACAUUUCCUUGGUAUCAUUUCUUUGACUAUUUCUCCAAAAUUUCUUAUAUCAACAUAGCUCAACUUUUGAUGGGAUUUCUUAUCGUUGUACUAUCUAUACAACUCAUCAAAUAUUGAGUUCAAAGCUUGAAUCACUAAAAACAAUUCUUCACUUCAGUUGGGCACAUCACUAACUCCACACAUAUGUACGUAUCUGCACAUUUAAGUGUCAUUAUUCCUUAUUACGUGUGGGGAUCUUUGUUUUCAAGUGCCUUCAGACUAAUUUCUCUUUGUUCAUUCUCAUCCAUAACCAAGAUUCAAUAUGAUAAUCUUCAUAGUUCAUGUCAAUGUUCUCAUAUUUAAUCUAUGAGCAUUGGGGUAUAAUCAAUUUUAGAUUACCCUUUUUAUAUGUUUAAAUCACCAUUCCACUCGUAUCUUACCAUAAGUUAUCUCUUACGUAAUCCAUAAGAAUUCUCAUUAUGCCUAUGCAUAGCUUCAUGUCCUUUUCAUGCAUAUACUCCUUUCUUAUCAUUUCCAAUUAUAUGCUUAAGUUUCAUUAUACUAUAUAUCCUUGCAUCACAAUUCCAUUAGUCACAUCUCACUUGCCAAAUGUCAUUUUCAUUAAAUUGCAAUCCAGUAUUUGUAUAUAUUUUAUAAUUUCAUUGAUCCUUCAAAGAUUCAUCUUUACUUGAUCACUGCAUCUUAUGCAAUAUCACAAUCCCUCUAAGUCAUCCCUGUUUCUCAAUUAUCUUUCAUGCCUCUAACAUAUAUAUUAUAUUCUUAUUGCAUUUUGACCUUAAUUAGUCACUUAAGACUUGGACUUAUUCGAAUCAUGCAUGCCACAUGCGUUUCCAAAUUCCAAUUUCCAUAAUACAUUAGGAGGUUUUCAUUAUCCAACUUCAUUAUCAAGGUUACCUUCAACCAUCCUUUGUACUAUUCUCUUAUACUGAUAUAAUGUCAUUCUCCCUUAAUCAAUUCAUAAUUUGUACUUGAAAUUGCAAGACUGGAAACAAGGUUUUUCUCAAGUACUUUUUAAUAUCAAUGUGAGUAUCACUUUUAGCUUACGGCUUUGCUUUUGUAACCACAUAACUUAAUGCCUGUUUCCAUAAGAUUCAUAGUAGGAUUCCUUAUAGAUGCCUACCUUUAACUUAUGUCUCACCGCAUAUGAUCACAUAACUCGUGGUUUAGCCAUUAAACUCCUUAGCAAGUUUCAAAAUCACACAUAUUAUACUAGUCGCUUAUGAUUGGUAAUUCCUUCUCAAGGAUGUUCAUGCAUCCCUAAAACACUUAAUCACUCAUUUGCUCUUUAACAUUUUGAGCAUAUCGUUCCAAAAAAGGCAUGCACUUAUUCACCAAGAUAUUUGAAUGCAUGCUCAACUAUUCAUACUUUAAUUUAUUCCCAAGGGUUUCUAGCAUGCCAUGUAAUCAGCCUUGUGUUGUUACUAAUCCUUUUCAUUCAAUUGAGUCAAGACAGGAAUUGCAGAUUCUCAUAGCAAUAUUCUAUAUAAACUCAUUCGCUAUACCACUCUUGUAAUCCUUCAUUCACACUUUCAUCACUUGGUAUUGACAUCCCUUAUCAAUAUCUCAUACAUUCAUCUAACUUUACAUUCACUUUUUCCUUAGCCUUUAACAAAGCUUAAUCUCUUAUCCUCCUUAUUUCUUAGGGUUUGACUUUAGUUUGUGUAAUGUUUAUCUUAAUACUUCACACAGUAAUUCAUCUCAAGAACUCUCUAACUCCCCUUUUUAUUACCUGCCAAUAUAUAGGGCAAUAAAGAAACAUUUCAAUUCACUCAUCAUCUUUAUCUUAAUACUUUCUCAACACACUUAAACUCUAAAUAACAAAAGUCAACAUCAAGGCCAAUGACCAUAAUUCAACUUGUGAGUUUCAUCUUCAUGCCACUCACAAUUUGCUCAUGCUUUCUAACCAUGAGGUGUUCUUAAAGUAGCAGCGUUGGGUAGUCGGCGCUGUAGCGUUGCUGUUGCUGGAAUUUACUUUAUCAAAGCAAUUCUUCUUCUUUUAAGGCUACUACACUAAUCAUUCUCAACCGCAUGGCUUUCCUUUAAGCCUAUACCACAAUUUCCAUAAGUAUGUGUAUCUUUUCUUUGCUUAUCAUAUGCACUAGGCCAAAUUAAUACUUUCAACUCAUAUCAUCUUUUGACUUUUAUCAUCAAUCAUGAAUUCCCACCUUAAGGCAUAUUUUCCAUAUGGUGUAAUGAAUUCACAAUACAUAUAUCACCCCAAACAUAAUUACUCACUAUUUAUGGCAUUCCACAAAUUUGUUAUUAUCCAUAACUAAUUGUCUUUCUUGUCAUGUAACUCCAAUAGUUUAUUGACUUUCAGUACAAAUGACCAUGAAAAUAGUUCAUCUUUCUCCUCACUUUAUUCUCACAAUCCUUAUUAAAUCAAGAAUUCAUUUUUCCCACGUUCCAUAAUUUAACUCCUUUGGGCUAUAUUUGUUCCCAAUUAUUACCUCAUAAUGUCAUGGCAUCAUUUUGUAAUCCCCUCCAUGCUUAAAUUACAAUCCUCGACUUAAUCACAUCAUCCAUUCUAAGUGUCUCCUAUAACCUCAUUGAUUUCUCCCAUAUCCUUCCAAAUAGUAACUGCAACUGGGAUUUCAAUUUCCACCUUUCCACGAUUAAUUGGUAAUCAUUUGUUAGGUCUCAUAGUUGUUUGUACCAUUAAUGACUUUCUACGUCGAUCCUUAAUAAUUAUCUAAGGCGACCAACCACGCAACUAAGGUGAAUAUCCUUCCUCAAUAAUUAUAUUGCUAGUCUACCUUUGUUAUACCAAAAGAUUCCUAUACACAUCCGGUCAUUUAAACAACUACUUUAUAAUUCAUUCGAGUCAUAUAAAAUAAAAGCCAACUCUUGACUCCUUUGUACAAAUAACUACUAAUAUUUCCUUUACACCGCAUCUACCUAGACUUAAAGUGAUACAAACUUCAACGAAAAUAUUAAGUGUCUUUAGGAUCCUCUUCACCUUGAUCCAAGCACAUCAACGGAUCUUCUUCCAGGUCCUCCUCUUCUUCUUGAGAUUUUCUCAUUUUAUUCAUAAUCCAAGCUUGCUGUAUUCUCAUGCAUUCCUUGUUACUCACAAGUGCAGCACCUCUACCACAACUUGGAGGAAAGUCUCGGACAACAGAUACAGAUACUUUCCUAGGACGAUAAUUACUGACAGUCCCUUUUUCCCAUCUUGUUCGAGUUCUUUUUUCUUGGAUCGAUUUCAUUGCGCACCAUUCUUGCAAGGCUCCUCCAGCUUUUAAAUAGUAUUCUACCUAUCGGGAACCGAUCCACUUGAAAAAUUCCUUGCUACUCACAAGUUCAGCACCUCUGCCAUAACCUGGAGGAAAGUCUCGGACAACAGAUACAGAUACUUUCCUAAGAUGAUAAUUACUGACAGUCCCUAUUUUCCAUCUUGUUCGAGUUCUUUUUCCUUGGAUCAAUUUCAUUACGCACCAUUCUUGCAAGGCUCUUCCAACUCUUAAAUAGUAUUCUACCUCUCGGGGAACCAAUCCACUCAAACAAUUGGGUCGGGUUACUUGUUACGCUUCGACCCUCAAUCACAUAUCAGCUCCACGCAGUGGAAUCUAGCGAUCCCUCGCUAGUACUGUGAAGGGCGUCAAGACUACCGUUUUUUCUAGACAUGACGUGUGCAACAGGCGCACCUUUAAACUUAUAUGCAACCAAGCAUUAAUUACUUUUCCAUUUAUACAUCAUAAGAACAAGUAGGUUUCUAAUGAAGUAGGGGCCCAUGUAGCCUCUAGUCUUUGACUUGCGUUGCGCACCCACAAUCCAAGGACAAGACUCUACACGGACUCCAACAACUCUGCUGACAGACACAUGAAUCUCUAGGACUCAACAAAACCUAGAGCUUUGAUACCAAGUUUGUCACAGCCCAAUCCCUAGGCCAUGACCGACUUAAGGGCCCAAUAGGCAUAACCCACUAGGCUCAAGCAAGCCUUUCUAUAUGAACCUGUACAUUAGCCCAUCUAUCAUCCAUUUUUCUUUAAAAUCUAUAAUUCAUAAUAUUCAAAUAUAAUUUCUUUGAAAACAAUUCAUAAAACGCAAGUAUUUACUCAUAAUGGCAUCAUCGAUCAUAAUAUACAUAGAUAGUUUGACAAAUGAAUCUUAACAAUUCACAUUAAGUAUACAUAUACACAUACAAUGACCCGACUAUCAGCAGAGUGACUCUGGGCAUGGGUGCUAACAUUUAAUGGCAUGGUGAACCUACUAAAAGAUGAAUAUGAGGGAACACUUUCACCUAAGAUCCAACUAGCUUCGAUCCUAAAACUAAAACAUGAAUUUGAAAAGAAUGAGUAUAAACUCAGUGAGUGAAUAUAGGAAGGAAACAAGCAACCAAUACGGAAAGUUUUUGAAAACAUGAUGCACUCAUUUUGAAAACAAUGCAAUUUUGUAUGCCAUAAACAAAACUCGAUGCCAUGUUGUCUUUUGACUCAUUUAAAACAUUUAAGAAAAUCAACUUUCAACAUUCAAUACAAUCACAUAAUAUUUCCUUAACUUUUUCAUAGCAUAUAUAAACAUUUCUAUAGCAUAUAUAAACAUCUCUAUAGCGUAUAAAUAUAUAAACAUACAUGCAACAACUGGUCAUCAGCUCUUGUGCACUCCCUACACGUACAUUUCAACAUCAUCAUGUGCACUCCCUGCACGCACAUUUCAAUACCAUCACACGCACUCCAACCCACAUCAUUACCGGCACCGUCAGGUGCACUCCCACACCGCACACGCCCGGUUAUAUUAAUCAAUCAACAUUACAUUUCAAAGAAUAACACACAUAUCAACACAUAACAAAAAUCUUUGUAUAGUGCUAUAUCUCACAUAAUUCAUUAUUUUACUGGUCAUAAACAUAGUUGCACAAUCCAACACUCAAAAAGAAUAACAUUAUUCAUUUUGCCAAUAAUUUAGGACAUCUCUAGAUUUCCAAUACACACAAGCCACAAAUCAAUUGACAAAUUAACAUAACAUUCCAAGUACAUAACUCGGCACAUUAUUUAUUCAACCAUGUAAAAGAAUUACUUGUGAAAAGAUUGUUCCCGUGCAUAAUUUUAAAAGAAAUCAACCAAGGAUAUUCAAAUAUUUUAUUCAAAUGCAUAUGCAUUUGUUCAAAGAAUUUUAAAUGCAAGUUCACUCACCUUACGAUGGCGGGAUGUUACAUCGCUAUUAGUUUGGAGGCGUAUCUAGCGAUUGCUACUUGCCGAUCCCUCGUUAUUUCCUCUAGCAUGCUACCACAAUACACUACCUUUACUUUUGUACUUCCUAGCAACAAUCCAAAUUCAAUAUCUUUAGUGUACCUCAUUUCUACUUCUCUUUUUCCUUCAAUCAUGAAUCCUUAUUCAAUUAACUUAUAUAUUGACACAUUCUUUAGCAAAGUGGCCUUUAUCCUUUACUGCGUAAUUCUUUAGAAUAUGGAUAGCAACAACUUAUUUAUGACUCUAGCACAUAUAUAAAUCUUGUCUAAGGAUAUUUAUCAAGUUUAUCCAUCAUUUCCACAAUAAUUACCUAGCAUAUGGUAGAAACUAUAAAUUUACUUCCAUCAAACAUUUUCUAAGUCUACAUGUACCACCAUCCUCAUUUACAUGUUGUCACCAAGCAUAACAUUAAUAUUCAUUCAUGUACACCAACAUCCAUAACCUUUUAAACCUUUCCUAACAACACAUAUCUACACACCAAACUUCCAAUUAAUAUACUUGCCUUCCAACCAUACCCAUGACAUCACAAUAAUACUUCAUAUGCAUACAAUCAUUCUCACAAUAUUAAACCAAUCAUAAGCUUUAAAUUGUAGCAUUAAGCUUACCACUUGAUUUUAACUUGGAUUUCACCCAACAAAAUUCAUAAUUUUCUCGCACCCAUGGUCACCAUAGCUGCCAUAAAAUGAUUCACACAUCUUUUUUCCAAAGAUUUAACCAACCAUGAGCUUAAAACACAAAAACCCUUACCUUAUGUUUCUUGAAUCUUGAGGCCUAAUUGAUAUUUCUUCAAUUACUCUUGAAUCACAUACUACCCAAGCUUUCCACCUUUCUUUCCUUUCUUUCCUUAGCUGAUUCUCUCUAUUCUUCUCUUCAAUUGCAUGGGAGUAAAGUGAAAAUGGGGUGGAAGUAUGGAAAUGGAGUGGGAGGAAGGAGAUGGAGAAGAAAAAACACCAUCUUGAAGAGAUAAGGAUUAACCAAGGAUAAUGACGAAGAGUCAGAGCUUCCUUUGAAAGCUUUGACCAUUUUAAUGGUAAAAUUACCAUUUUACCCUUCAAGGUUUUUACCCUUUUUAAUUGUAUCCUCCCACAAUCUUUUGUUCAUCUCGAUAAUAUGUGAUAGAAGGGGGGUGAAUAGCAUAAAUUGGCUCUUAACAAUAUUGGGAACUAAUUCCCAGAACUGAAGAAAAUAAAAACAGGGUAUAAGAUGCACAACAAUUUAGAAUGGUUCGGUCUAAGACCUACAUCCACUACCUUGAUUAUCCAACCAAGGAUUUUUCCACAAAUUCACUAAACAUCGGUGAAAUUCACAAGCUUUCACCAAGCUUUACAAUGGCUUUUACCAGGCAGUCAAAACAUUUUACAUUAGUUUUUCACGGGCUCAACUAAAACCCAAAGUGGUUUUCCAAGGCUCAACCACAACCUUCAACAAUCAAGCUAUCCCAAGCUUGAACAACCCCUUAGAGUGACUCCCUCACUCUAAGAAUACAAGAAAAGUAGUAAAAGAAGGUACCUAUAAUCACUGGUUGAUCUGAGUGGUACAAGAUUGAGUGCUAAAUACAAAUGCAAGGAGUAGGCAUUUAAGUGCAGACAAGUGCAGUGAAGUUUUUCUGGUUUUUUUAACUUUCUAUAACUCAAAUCUCUUUCAAGGCUUCUAAAAACUUGUUUCUAAUUGUUGGAAGACCCUUUUAUACUUAGAGAUGCAAUUCUGAUGGCAGUUUGACAGUUUAUGGCUGUUGAAAAUAGUUAAGAAUGAGUUCUAGCCAUUAAUCUGUCUUGUAGUGCUCUGGUUCAAAUUGCAGACAGAGGGCUCUUAGUCGACUGACUUGGUCGACUAAGUUGGUUUUGUUUCAAGUUGUAGAUUCUGACAGAGAGCAGUUAGUCGACUGACUUGGUCGACUAAGUUGAUUCUGUUUCUCAAACUCUUCAGCCCGCUAUUCUUCCAAUUUGAAACUUGGUCAACCAAUAUUCUUCCUUGUUUCACCAAUAGGCUUCCUCCUUGUUAGAUAGUUACAUCUUGUUGUUUUUAUUCCUCUUUUUCUUUUGAUAUACUCUUUGAGGAGUUAAAUAAUUAAUUUCAUAUAUUAAAUUUCCUGCACACUCAAGUAAAGAUAUUAGACACAAAUGAAUGGGAAUGUUUUAUUAUCAUCAAAAGCUAAUAGAGCCAACAUCUUUUAAUUUCAAUUUCUUUCCAUUAUCUUCUUUUACACAUGUACAAAUGAAAUAUAAAGUUUGUACUCCAACGCGGUGUCCCCAUAAUAUUUAAAAUAUUUAUUUACUCGCGCUAUCUUUAUUUAAUAAAGGCACUCAGGCCCCAUUAACGUUAUUUUUCUUUGAAAUUUCUUCGUUUGUCUUCUCCCCCACUUAGAUUGACCAUAUACUCCCUUUUCAUGAAAAAUUUUGAUAUUGAAUAAAAUAUUAAUGGUUUAAUAUUAUUUUAUUAAUAAAAUAUUAUUUUAUUUUAAAAUUUUCCACUUGUCUCCUUGGCAACCAAAAUAUCUUAUUAUGUUUCAAUUCACUUCCGAAUCACUUUUUUUCUGGCAAAUUCUUCUCUGAUAAAAAUAUUAUUAUUUUUUUAUUUCCUCGUGUACGAAAUAUUUUAUCUUAAAAUACUUUUUUCACCUUUCAUCACUUUUAAACAUUCCAAUUAACCUCAAUUAGCAUCCAAUAAGCUUUAUUAGCCACCAUAUCAAAGUACGGGAUAUUAUAGAUAUUAAUGACAUGCUUCGAGACAGACAUUGGCAGCUAUUUAGUGACCAAGCUGAAGUUGCGGUUGUGCCUGCAGCCUGAGAGUUUUAUGCAAAUGCGGUUGAACAUGUUGAUGGUUGACCAUCAAAUUUUAUUUUUGUCAUAUGGAAAAUGACAUUGUACGUAUGUGCAGCAAUAUGGAGUGAUUUGCAGCAAGUAAGUAUUAGCAAAUCAUCAUUAAACUUUCAGUAGUAAGUGUUGAUAGAUUUUCAUAAAUGUUCCAGCAGCUGUCAACAGUUUAUUGGUUUCAGAUUUUGUCUACAUCAUUCAUGUUUCAAUUGAUAUACUAUGCACCCCAUCUAUAUCUAGUUACAAAUAGAAAUCAUUCAUAAUUCCAUAACAAAAAUCAUUUAUUAGCAUCGAUAUCAGCAUAGCAUCAGCAGAUUUUGUUUAUGACAGUAAAAAUACCAAGAUAACAAAAUAUCAGCAGACUUCAAUUUGUAGCAGUUAAACAACAUAGACAUUUCAGCAUUCACUUUUCACACACAACUAGAUAAACAACAUAAUUAAACUUAAGUGUUCAAGUGCCAACAUGGCACAAAUAGCAGUUAAUUAAAAAAUAUUCUGAAAUUGCCCUUGGAUAAUUUUGCUUCCUAUCUCUUAUUUUUCUAAGUUUCGGCUCCUGAUUCUGCUUUCUUUUCUUUCCUAGGUUCUUGGUUCCUCCACCCUAACAUUUUUUUUUAAUUCCUGCACCCAUUCUUUGGUUCCUACACCUAUUCUACUCCCCCUUUUUGUUAGCAUCAAAAGAAGGGGCUUUUAUUCAUCUGAUGUGUUAGAGGGUGAGGAUUCAGUGUCAUAAAAAAGGUUUAGAGGAAAAGGAGAGGGCUCUCGGAGAGGUGAUGACUUGUGUGAGACAGGGAUUGGACUCUGAAAAGAAAAGGCUGAAACUGGUUUGGAUUUCUCUACCAACCUGGAAAACUUUCUUCUCUUAAGAAAAGCUGUCUUGGUUACCAUAGUCUUCCUGCCUUUGGUUUGUGGUUUUGCCUCAGUUAGUGGUGCUGCAAUGGCUUUGGCUUUUUCUACUUUUGCCUUUACUCUAGUAGUUGAUGUAGGUUUCUUUCUUUUUCCUACAUCUUCACCAUCCUUUUGAGUUUUUGUCCUGGCAGUGUCUUUUUCAGCUUGUCCCUCUUUAACCAUUUGGUGGAAGAUAUCCAAGAUGGAAACUUCCUCUGAAUUUGGAGGAGAGGUCUGUUGUUUCUUUGUCUCUGAACCAACCACUUCUGUUCCUUGUUCUGAAUCAUUUUUGCUUUGAGGUUCAGGAGAGGAUGUCUUAGCUAGCUAAUCAACCCCUUGAGGAGAGUCCUCAGUUUGCAAAACAGGACUGGCAGACUUGUAGGUGGAACCUUUAGCUUGAAAGCCAGAACUUUCAACAUGAUAAGCAGAUUUUUCUGCUGGCUUAGCUGAACCUUCAGCACCUUGCUAUAUUGGUGCAAUGCUAGAUGUUGCAGAUUUGUCUAUAGCCAAAGGUUCAGAUGGAAUGCUUUCCUUCUCCUUUAGCUUGCUUUCCAACUCAGUGAUUUUCUCUUCAAUUUUCUGUAUCUUUUCUCCUUGGUCAGUCAGCUUCCAUCAAUCCUCAUGAGCAAAUUAAAAAUUACUUCAUUUGAGAAUCUAGAAAGGGCUUCUUCAGGUUAAGCAGGUAGGCUGUGUUUUUUUCCUAGACCAGUCUUGGGGGUCUUAAUGAAUCUUUCCCCAUCGAGUAUAUACCCCAUUUUAACCAAGCUCCCAUAAUAAAUAGCUUGAUCUCUGGUUUUUACCAGGUCCAUAUCAUACUUUUUUGCCCAUGUUCCCUUCUUUUGCACAAGGGAUGUAAUUACAUUCCCAAACAACAGAUUAACCUUAUCAAGUCUACAGGCACUUCUCAUUUUUUUAAUCAUAAAUCUUCCUAGAUUCAGAGGUACCUCGUUGAAGGCAUGCUUCAUCAGCCAGAGGUCUUGGAGGCUAAUGUAGCUAAGGCUUUCACUUUUACCUUGAAUGUUGGCCGUUGUAAAAUUGUGUAAAAUCCUAAUCUAAGGACUGAUUAUCAUACCUGAAUUACUUUUUGAAGAAUAUUUUUCUUUCUUUCCAGUGAUGAUCUUCCACAAUGAAGAUGGAUCAUAUUUUUCAAGGAGCUCAUACUCUCUUUCUUUGCAUUCUAUUUUCAACAGGUUUCCUAAAUCUUCAGCAGUCACAACAAAUUCUUUUCCAUUCAGAUAAACAUUCAAACCAUCUUCAUCAUAAUCAUCAAAAUCUAUUAAUUCCUUUCCUUUCAAAGCAAUACCAGAAUAUAAUUUUUUAACCAGACUUGGACUAUAAGACCUAUGCUUAAAGAUGCUGUAACCUUUUAGUUUCAGUUCAUCAAAGUACUUAGAUAAACUAGUCUGGAUUUCUAUAUUUUCCUCAAAACUUUUCCAAUCAAUAAAUUUUCCACAAGAGAUUGGUGCAUUCUCGAUAUUUUUGAACCUAUAUUCAUGCAAUUUAUUCCUAAACUUUGAAGAAAAAGAACUGGUACCUUUGUGGUGUGAAGGUUCUAUUUCUUUAUUUUUGUCAGUUUUUUGCUUCUUUUCUCUUAGUUUGUUGGAUAUUUCUUUCACUGAAAUAGGCAUGAUUUUCUGUUUCUUCUUUAGACUUUAUGUUCUUGUUCCUUUCUCCAUUGGCCUUUUCCUUUUCUUCUUUUCUGAUAUCUCUUUACUCUAAGAUUUUCUAGCCAUUUUGGUUCCAAAAAUUUCUGAGGAUUUGAGUCAGUUUUAGAGGCAAACAAGAAGAUUUGGAUUUUUGUUUUUAGAGCAACGGGUUUUAGGGGAGAGAAGAUGAGAGGUUGUCAGCACUUAUUUCUUAGAAAAACUGCUCACCUUCCCUCAAGAGCUGCCCUACUUUCAUUCUUUAUAAUUUCAAAAUUCCCUCUAAAAUUUUGGUUAUUUACCUUUGGCAGUAUUUUUUCUUUCUCUUUGCACUCGGUAAACCAAAUUUUUACCUCAUUUUACUCCUCUUUCUCUAAACUCACUAAGUCUUAUUAUUUAAUGUUGUCAGACCACUCUUAGUUAACUAAGAUUUCCUUAGUCGACUGAAUGCAUUCUAUUUUCUGUGUGUGAGCCAAAGGUUUUCCUAUAAUUCCUUCACACUAAUCAUCCCUAAAUUUCUUCUAAUCUCACAUAAUCUAUCUUCACUCAAAGGUUUGGUAAAAAUAUCUGCUAAUUGAUGUAAAGUAUUCACAAAUUCUAUCUUAAUAUCAUUUUUCACUACAUGGUCUCUAAUAAAAUGGUGUCUUUUUUCAAUGUGCUUAAUCCUAGAAUGCUGCAUAAGGUUUCUUGAUAUAUUGAUUACACUUGUAUUAUCACAGUAUAUUGGUACAUUAUGCAUAGUUAUUCCAUAAUCUUUUAAUUGUUGCUUGAUCCAAAGGAUUUGUGCACAGCAACUACCUAAUGAUACAUAUUUAGCCUCUGCUUUAGAUAGUGCCAAUGAGUUUUGCUUCUUGCUGGACCAAGACACAAGCAUGCUUCCUAAAAAUUGGCAUGUUCCACUAGUGCUUUUCCUAUCAGUUUUGCUACCAGCAAAGUCAGCAUCUGAAUAUCCAACUAAGCUAAAAGUUUAGUCUCUAGAGUACCAUAUUCCUAGUCCUUGAGUGUCUAUGAGGUAUCUAAAAAUUCUCUUAACAGUUGUUAGGUGUGUUUCUUUAGGCUGUGACUGAAAUCUAGCACACAAGCGCACACUAAACUGAAUAUCUAGACUACUUGCUGUUAAGUAGAAAAGUGAGCCGAUCAUACCUCUAUAGAGCUUUUGAUCUACAUCCUUACCUUUUUCAUCUAAGUCGAGUUUGGUGGAUGGAGUCAUUGGUGUGGAAAUUGAUUUCAGCUUCACCAUAUCGAAUUUCUUGAGCAUAUCUUGAGUGUAUCUUUCUUGGUUGAUGAAGAUUCUUUCCUCACUUUGUUUAAUUUGAAGACCAAGGAAGUACCUCAACUCUCUUUUCAUGCUUAUCUCAAAUUCACCCUGCAUUUCCUUAGCAAAGUUCUUGCAUAAAGCCUCAUUAGUUGCACCAAAUACAAUGUCAUCCACAUAUAUUUGCACAACAAUUAAAUCAUUUAGAUAUCUCUUAAUGAAUAAUGAGUAUCGAUGUUGUGUCUAUCAUACCCUUUUUCAACUAAAAAUUUUCAAAGCCUUUCAUACCAAGCUCUAGGAGCUUGUUUCAAUCCAUACAAGGCUUUAUGAAGUUUGAAAACAUGAUCAGAUUUUCCAAAGUCUUCAAAACUAGGUGGUUGUUCCACAUAUACUUCCUCUUGAAUUAAUCCAGUUAAGAAUGCACUUUUUACAUCCAUUUAGAACAAUUUAAAAUUCAUGAAACAUGCAAAAACUAGCAACAACCUCAUGGCUUCAAUCCUAGCAAUGGGGGCAAAGGUCUCAUCAUAAUCCAUUCCUUCCUUUUGGUUUUAUCCUUUUGCAACCAACCUAGCUUUAUUUCUAACUACAUUUCCUUGCUCAUCUACCUUAUUUCUAAAUACCCAUUUUGUACCAACAAUAGGGUGAUUUGAAGGUCUAGGCACCAAUGACCAUACACGACUCCUUGUGAAUUGAUCAAGUUCUUCUUGCAUGGCCAUUAUCCAACUUUAUUCUUUUUCAGCUUCUUCAAAGUAUUUAGGUUCAAUUUGAGAUAUAAAAGCUGAAAACUCACAAGUUUCUCUAGUUGCUUUCCUAGUUUUAACUCAUUGUGAAAUGUCACCUAUUAUUUGGUCUUAUGGGUGAUCUCUUACAAAUCUCUAACUCCUUGGUAGAUCAUCAUGCUAAUUUUCUGCUAUUUGCAGAUUUUCUAGAGGUAGAAUUUCAUUUUCUCUUCUAGGUGAGCUUUCUUCAUUAUUUUUGUUGUUUUCUAAACUCAUAUCCUCCAUUUGUUUUUCUAGGACUUCUACAUCAUCAUCAUCAUCAUGAAUUUCUUUUUGUAAAGCAUUUGACUCAUCAAAAACUACAUGAAUUGAAUAUUCAACGGCUAAGGUCUUUUUGUUAAAAACUCUAUAAGCCUUUGAGUUUAAUGCAUAUUCUAAAAAUAUUGCUUCAUCACUCUUUGCAUCGAACUUCCCUAGGGGUUGUUUUCCAUUGUUCAAUACAAAGCACUUACAACCAAAACUCCUAAGGUGAGAAAUAUUUGGUUUCUUACCUUUAUAAAGUUCAUAUGGAGUCUUUGAAAUCAAGGGUCUUAUUGAGACUCUAUUAAGAAUAUAAGCUAUUGUAUUUACUGCCUCAGCCCAAAGAUAUUUGGGUAGGUUGUUCUCACAUAACAUAGUCCUAGCCAUUUCUUUAAAGGUUCGGUUUUUUCUCUCUAUAACUCCAUUUUGCUAGGGUGUUCUAGGUGCAAAAAAAUUGGGAUCCAACCCCUUUUCAUUGAAAAACUUUUCAAACUCAUCAUUUUCAAAUUCUCUUCCAUGAUCACUUCUUAUGCUAAUUAUAGCUAGUCCUUUUUCAUUUUCUACUUCCUUACAAUGACUUAAGAAUGCAUGUAGAGCAUCAUUCUUAUGAGCAAGAAAAUACACCAAAGUAUAUUUAGAAUAGUCAUCAACUAUUACAAAGCCAUAAGAUUUUCGUCCUAAGCUAGUUGUGCUUAUUAGACCAAAUAGAUCAAUGUGUAACAAUUCAAGAGGUCUAGAUGUUGACACUAUCUUUUUGGUCUUAAAGGAUGUUCUAGCUUGUUUUCCUAGUUGACAAGCAUCACAUAUUCUGUCAUUUUCAAAUUGUAAAUCAGGCAACCCAACUACUAAAUUCUUUCUAAUCAAUUUUGACAUAGUAUGCAAACUUACAUGUCCUAAUCUUCUAUGCUACAACCAGCUAUCAUUUUCAGCAUUUGCAAUAAGACAUACCUCACUAUUUACUUCAAGAUCCUCAAGAAAAACUACAUACAUAUUUUUCAAUCUUUUUCCUAUAAAUGAGAUUUUAUUUGUACUCAUAUCUAUUACUUCACACUUAGUUGAAACAAAACAUACUUUAAAUCUUUUAUCACAUAAUUGACUAAUACGUAUUAAAUUAUGCUUUAAGCCUUUAACCAACAACACAUGACUGAUUUGAGUUUGAGAAUUCUUACCAACCGUACCUAUACCAUGGAUUCUGCCUUUUGAAUCAUCUCCAAAGGAUAUGGUUCCUUCCUUUCUCUUAUCCAGCUAAGCAAACAGCAUUUCAUGUCCUGUCAUGUGCCGUGAAUAGCCACUGUCCAGCUCUUGAACAUGUCUGCUUUAAGUCCAGCUCAACCUACAAAAUAGAAUUUCAGUUUUUCUUUAUAGGUACCCAUACUUUGAUGGGUCCUUAAGUGUUAGUUGCAACAAAGGAUCCCUUAAGAACCCAGAUUUUCUUCACUUUCUGUACUCUUCUUUUCUUAAAAUAAUCAUAUGAUAAAUGACCAUGUUUACCACAAUUAUAACAUUUAGUUAAUGCUUUAGCUAAAUUUUUAUUGUGGUAUACAUUCAUUUUUGAAGAUUCAUCUUUCAAACAUUUAAGACCUGUGUUUUCAUCAAGAAUUAUUUGCAAAGUUUCAAACUUGUUUUCCAGCUCUUGUUUUAAAACCUCAAAGUCUGUUUUUGAGUGUUCUAACUCAACCUGCAAAAUAUUUCUUUACUCAAAAAUAGAAGUAAAUUCUUGUUUGAUUUGUUCCAAAUCAUUUUCAAGUGAUGCAGCAUUUUUCUUUAAUGAUUUGUAUUUUGAAAAAAGUUUUUCAAAUUCAUCAUAAAGGCACUCAUACUCAUCUUGUAAAUCAUCAUAAGAAUUAAUGCAUGGGGAUAAGGAUACCUCUGUUUCAUCCUCUUGUGCCAUUAAAUAGAUGUUUACUCUUUCCUCAGAUUUUUCAUCAUCAGUUUCAGAGCUUGAUGUGUCACUGUCCAACCAUGCAGCUACCACCAUUGCUUUCUUGGAUUUCUUAUUUUUCUUGGAAGUUUCAUCUUUCAGCAAUGGACACUCGGACUUAAAGUGACCAGGUUUCUUGCACUCGUAGCAGAUAAGCUCUUCCUUUUUGUUGGAGUCAAUUUUGUUUCUGUUUUUCCACGAGGCAUCUUGGUCUUUCUCGAAACCUCUUCUAGCUAGCCUUCGGUUUCUUCUGCUCAUUAGCUUUGGGAAUUUUCUUGCAACCAGAGCUAAUUCUUCAUCAUCAUCACAGGAAAGCUCUUCCAGCUCUUCUUCAAGGAUGCUGGCUUUAAGUGCAAUACUCUUUUUCUUUUCCUUUGCUUCCCUUCGGUAUUCUUGUUCUUCUUCUUUAAGCUCCAGCUCAUGAGUGAGAAGAGAACCACAAAUCUCAUCAAGUGUGAUGAUGUUCAGAUCUUUAACCUCUCUAAUGGCAGUCACUUUAGGCUUCCAGUUUUUUGGUAGACUCCUAAGCAGUCUUUUUACUAAUUCAUGUUCAGGAAUAGGCUUGCCUAGCUAACUCAAUUUACUUGUGAUGUUUGUAAACCUAUCAAAUAUGCUGGUGAUGUCUUCACCAGGCUCCAUUUUGAACAUUUCAUAAUUAUGUGUUAACAGAGCAAUUUUGGACUCUUUUACCUGAGAAGUCCCUUCAUGAAUUAUUCUAAGUUUUUCCCACACUUGCUUAGUUGUUGUACAGCUUGAGACUUUGUCAAAUUCAAUGGGGGUUAAUGCACAAUGUAAUGUGUUGAUUGCCUUAAAAUUUAUUUAAACUUUCUUAGUUUUAGCCUCAGUCCAUUCAGACCUUGGCUUGGGAUCAACUCAUUUGUCACUACAUUCACGGUUGAGGGCAUAAAGGGUCCAUCAGUUAUGAUGUCCCACAUUUCAUAGUCUAUAACCCUAAUAUAGAUUAACAUUCUUGUGCUCCAAUAAGGGUAAUUAGAGUCAUCAAAUAGAGGUGGUCUAUUUGUUGAUUAUCUCUCAGCCACUACUGAUUUUUGGAGAGCCAUAUGGAUCUUCCCUAAGGAUGUUAAGCCUUAAUAACAGGAAACUAGCUCUGAUACCAAUUGUUGGUCCCGAUAAUAUGUGCUAGAAGGGGGGUGAAUAGCACAAAUUGGCUCUUAACAAUAUUGGAAACUCAUUUCCAGAACUUAAGAAAAUAAAAAUAGGGUAUAAGAUGCACAGCAAUUUAGAGUGGUUCGGUCCAAGACCUACAUCCACUACCUUGAUUAUCCAACCAAGGAUUUUUCCACAAAUUCAUUAAACACCGGUGAAAUUCACUAGCUUUCACCAAGCUUUACAAUAGCUUUUACCAGGCCUAACCAAAACCUUUUACACUAGUUUUCACAGGCUCAACUCAAACCCAAAGUGGUUUUCCAAGGCUCAGUUAAAACCUUCAACAAUCAAGCUAUCCCAAGCUUGAACAACCCCUUAGAGUGACUCCCUCAUUCUAAGAAUACAAGAAAAGUAGUAAAAGAAUGUACCUAUGAUCACUGGUUGAUCUGAGUGGUACAAGAUUGAGUGCUAAAUACAAAUGUAAGGAGUAGGCGUUUAAGUGCAGACAAGUGCAGUGAAGCUUUUCUGGUUUUUUUAACUUUCUAUAGCUCAAAUCUCUUUCAAGUCUUCUAAAAACUUGUUUCUAAUUGUUGGAAAACCCUUUUAUACUUAGAGAUGCAACUCUGAUGGCAAUUUGACAGUUUAUGGCCGUUGGAAACAAUUGAGGAUGAGUUCUAGCAGUUAAUCUGUCUUGUAGUGCUUUGUUACAAAUUGCAGACAGAGAGCUCUUAGUCGACUAAGUUGGUUUUGUUUCAGGUUGCAUAUUCUGACAGAGAGUAGUUAGUCGACUGACUUGGUCGACUAAGUUGAUUCUGUUUCUCAAACUCUUCAGCUCGUCAUUCCUUCAAUUUGAAACUUGGUCAACCAAUAUUCUUCCUUGUUUCACCAAUAGGCUUCCUCCUUGUUAGAUAGUUACAUCUUGUUGUUUUUAUUCCUAUUUUUUUUAUAUACUCUUUGAGGAGUUAAAUGAUUAAUUUCAUAUAUUAAUUUUCCUACACACUCAAGUAAAGAUAUUAGACACAAAUGAAUAGGAAUAUUUUAUUAUCAUCAAAAACUAAUGGAGCCAACAUCUUUUAAUUCCAAUUUCUUUCCAUUAUCUUCUUUUACACAUGUACAAACGAAAUAUAAAGUUUGUACUCCAACGCGGUGUCCUCAUAAUAUUUAAAAUAUUUAUCUACCCACGCUAUCUUUAUUUAAUAAAGGCACUCGGGCCCCAUUAACGUUAUUUUUCUUCUAAAUUUCUUUGUUUGUCUUCUCCCUCACUUAGAUUGACCAUAUACUUCAUUUUCAUGAAAAAUUUCGAUACUGAAUAAAAUAUUAAUAUUUUUUAUUUUUUUAUUAAUAAAAUAUUAUUUUAUUUUAAAAUUUUUCACUUGUCUCUUUGGCACCCAAAAUACCUUAUUAUGCUUCAAUUCACUUCCGAAUCACUUUUGAUCUCGUAAAUUCUUCUCUGAUAAAAAUAUUAUUAUUUUUUUAUUAUUUCCUCGCGUGCGAAAUAUUUUAUCUUAAAAUACUCUUUUCACCUUUCAUCACUUUUAAACAUUCCAAUUAACCUCAAUUAGCAUCCAAUAAGCUUUAUUAGCCACCAUAUCAAAGUAUGGGAUAUUAUAGAUAUUCAUGACAUGCUUCGAGACAGACAUUGGCAACUAUUUAGUGACCAAGCUAAAGCUGUGGUUAUGCCUGUAGCUUGGGAGUUUUAUGCUAAUGGUGUUGCAUUUGUUCAUGGCAAACAAGUCCCUUUUCACAGUCAAGCUAUCAACGCAUUUUUUGAAACCCCCAAUAUUGAGAAUAAUGAAUAUGAGAAGUACUUGGGUGAUCAUCAAGAUUGCAAUGAGAUUAUAUCGACGCUUUAUGUUGAGGGAGCCCAAUGGAAGACAUUGCAUGGUGAGUCAGUUCAUUUAAAUGAAGUGCCAUGAAAAGGAGCUAAAAGUUUGGUUACACUUUGUAAUAACACAGUUACUCCCUUCCACUCAUAUCAGUGAUGUCACGAGGGAUCGCACAGUGCUUAUUUAUGCCAUUGUAACACAUAAAUCCAUUGAUAUUGGUAAGGUUAUCUCUCAUGCCAUCUUACAUACGGGCCACACUAAAUGAGAUGGUAUCAGUUUUCCUUCCUUGAUCUCAGCAUUAUGUGCAAGAGUUGGUGUGUAAUGGAGCGAUACAGAGGAGAUGCAACAACCAAAAAUUCCCAUCUCCAUGGGCACUCUUAAGUGAUUAGAGGAAUCUGCACCGAUCGCUGAUAGUUCUUCACAAGCCGCCCCCCCCCCCCCCCCGCCCACCUUCCUAGGUGGCUCCCACACGUAAUGUUGCUUAAUGAAUGGAGCGCAUUGAUCGUAGAUUAGACCGACAUGAAAGUCAAAAUCAGGCAAUUAAACAAAUGAUGAGAGCCUAUGCCAAACAUAUUGGGAUCGAUAUGACUACUUUUCCUUCGUUGCCUACAGAUUCUAACUCUGAGGGCAAUUUUGGUGGUGACGAUGCAGAGGACUUGUAGACUACGGCUUAGGAGUUAGAGGAGUAUUCUUAUCCUUUUUCUUUAAUUUUCUUUUAUCACAUUGAGGACAAUGUUUGUUCCAAGUUUGGGGGAGUGGUUUAGUAUUUUGUUGUUUUUUUUUUUUCAUUACGUUUAGUUAGCUUUAUUUUAAGCUAUGUCUUGCAUGUUUUAUUUAUUUUUUGCAUGUUUUAUUUGUGUUUAAAAAAAAUUGGUUUGAUAGUUGCACCUCAUUCAUGAUUGUCCCAAUACUAGGAUGAUAUUUCAAUUAUCUUUUGAUUCUUAGCUUUUGGGAAGCAUAUAGUUAUGAUUUAAUUUUAUGUGAUAUUCUUUUGUUAGCUUUAUUUUAGAAUGUGACUUCCAAUAAUUUAAGCACUAUACUCCUUUACUUAGAAUUUUUAUGUGAUUUAGAGAAAGUUUAUGUUGAUGAAAAAGUAUAGUGAAGUCAAGAAUUCUAGAAUUUGUUUGAUUCUCUCGCGAGGUGAAAUCUUAGAUAACACUUAGGAUAGGAAGUGAUUUAGGCCAUCUUUGGAUCGUUUGAGCCUUUUUGAGCUUACUUUGUUAUAUUUAUCCUUAGUCACCCUUUUUGAGCCUAAUUUACCUUUUCUUUGUAAUUACACAAUUGUGUUAGCCUUGCUUGUCUAUUUAAACACAGCAAUUUGAACCUUUCACCCUCUAAGUAUUUUAAUCUUUCUACAGAAUGGUUUGAGCUUAAAUAUAAAUUGAGGGAAAAAGGUGAACAAAAAAAAAAGAAAAAGUAAUGGUUGUUAGAAAAAGUAUCCCUUGUUUAUAGUUGUCAAAAAUAAGUUUGAUGGUGUUAAAAAACACAAAAAAAAAAAAAAAUAAAGUGUGUUGUACAAAGGAAAGUUUACUUCAAGUUUGGGGGUGCUAUACAAAAAAAAAAAAUUUGAGUUCUUUAUAUGUCUUAGAUUGAUUAAGUGCUUAUGGUGAAUUUGAGCCUAAAUAGAUCCUUUAUCAUACCUUGACCCUAGCCUUACAUUACAAGCUUGAUAAAGACCUACUGAUCCUUGAAUAAGUGUUAAUCUACAUUAGUGCAAAGAAAGAUGAAAGCAAACUUAUGGAUCCUAGUACUAAUCUAUUCUUAGAUUUGGCAUAAACUAAUCUAAAUUGCAUGAUAUUCUUUGUAAGAGAGCAUUCACUCACACACGGGAAGUCUAUUCAAAAAAUAAGUUUUCACUUGAAUUAAUGCAUGAAUUUAAGGAUUAGUUGUAUGUUACUUUAAGUUGGAAUUUGAGUUAAUUUUUGAGGAAAAAAUGGGAAAUCAUUAUUUGGUACUUCUAUCUCUCGUUUAAGGACUUUUAUGUUCAUUUUUCUUUUUGUGAUUCUUUUUUGCUCGAGGACUAGCAAAAUCUUAAGUUGGGGGGUGUGAUAAUUGUAUUUUAUAGAAUUAUUUUAGUCCAAUUUUGUUAUUAAAUAUUAGUUAAGUCCUCAAUUUUCAAUUAUAAUUUACUUAUUUUUAGUUGUUUUUAUAAUUAGUUUAUUUUUAAGUGAGUUAUUUUAAUUUUAUGUUAUUUCUUUUAAUUUGAUUGUUAUUUACUAGUUUUUAUAUUUUUCGUAAGAGCUAAAGGAAUUGGGCUUAAUUUUGGAAAGUAAGGUGUUGAAAGACUCGAAAGUCUGUUUGCAUAUGUUUCAGUGUUUUGGCCAUAACUCGUGCUACAGAACUCCAAAUGAUGUGAUUCUUAGACCAUUGGAAAGCUAAGAGACAAAGCUACAAAUUUCAUGAGAUCACUUUACCUAGUUCUAAAUCAAAGAGAAAGAAAAUUGCAUUGGAAAAUGGCUGGAUGUACUGUGCCGGGAAUGGAAAUCUUUGGAGAUUGACAAUUGAUUUUUUAGGCCUCUCAUUAACUUUUAAGCCCAUUUAAAUCAUAGGUCAACUUAGGGAACUAUAGGUUAAGUUUAUUAGUAUAAAUAGGACAUUUUUAAGAACAUUAGGGGAGAGAACUUUUGGGAGACUCAAGAAGCUAGAAGUUGAGGCUGAAACUUGGAUAGCAAGGUGGCAAAUUUUUGUUUUGUUUUCUUCCUUGGCUUUUAUUAUUCAUGUUGCUCUCAAUGGUUGAAAUUAUUAUAAUGUUAUUUGUCUUUGCAAUCAUAAGUAACUAAUUUUCUUUUCUAAGAUUGCAAUUGAGCUCACAUAUAAUUUAAAUUUUUAAUCUCUUUAUUACAUAUCUUUAAUGGGAUUUGAAUUGUUUAUUCCAAUUUGUUCUUAAUGCUUUUAAUUGCUUGGCCACCAAUUAAAUUGAUAUAGGAACCUAAACAAACUUGGGAAAGGGAGUUUAGUGUAGACUAAAAUUGAGAAAAUAUAUGAUCAUAUUAAUUGAUUUGCGUAUAGGAUAGGGAUAUACCUAUAGGCCGUAUGUAGCCAAAUUAGAGCCUGAACUUAAUAAACCUAUUUUAAUUUCAAUUCACAUAGGGAUGUACUGUUUUUGUCAAGCCCUACUCUAUUAUAUACUUGUCAUGUCAUUCAUGUGCUUGAUAGAAUGUUUGCAUAAGUGAAUGUAUCGAAAAAUCGUUAAAAGUCGAUAUUGUACUUAGUGAUACAGUUAAGUUGAUUAAAGCCUCAAACUAGACCAAAUAAAGAUUUUACGAUGUAUUUGAGAGUUAUUGAAUCUUAGAAUGUCUUAAUAUGAUGAUCCGGAAUUCGAGGAUUGAUUUGGAGUUAAUUCGAGAAUUUUCAUAACGUAGGGGCAAAAUGGUCAUUUUGCCAUCCAAGGGUAAAAUUGGAAUGUUGGAUGAUAUUUUGACUAAAUUUGAUUAAUUAGAGCAUUAUUUGAAUUUAAGAAGUGAAAAAUUUCAAUUUCGACAUUUUUCCAAACAUAAGGGCAAAACAGUCAUUUUAAGUGUCCAUGAGGAUGAAAUUGGAAAUUUUGGAAUUUUACACCACCAUGACACUUGUCAAACCCAUGAAUUUCACCCAUUAUUUUUUUAAGUGAGAGAUUAUAUGUGGUGGGAAUGAAAUGCUUAAUUAUUAAGUUUUUAAACAUGGACCAAUUAAAAGGUGACAAGUGUCAAGCUUUAAUAUUAUUUUAAUUGGCUAUAUAAACUCACUUAAAACCCUCACAUUCACACUCUUAUGGCCGGCCAAGCAAGGGAACAAAGAGAAAAAGAGAAGAACAAACCCUAGGAAGAAAAAAUCCAAGAGAAAUUGCUGGAUUUUAAGAAAUCAAGCAAGUAAAGGUAAGAUUUCUUUUAUUUUAGCUUGUGAUCUACCUUUCCCAUGCAUUCUUUUUCAUUCUCCAUGGCUAAAAUUCAAGUUUUCAAGAGGGAACCUUUUCUGGCCAAACCUAGAGAGAGAAGUUUUGGGGAUGAAUUUUGCUAGAUUUUAUAAUAUUCUAGUGUUUUUAGUCAUUUUGUGAUGUUUGGAAAGAAAAACAAGCAAGAAAAUCACAUGUUCUUCAACCACCCUUAUUUGGCCGAAUUUUCUAUAGAGCAUGUUGAUGAUGGAUUUGGUUGUAAUUCAUGUUAUUUAGCUAGGAAUUGAUGAAUUAUGAUGUUGGAUAUCGAAACCGGUUAUUGAAAAGUAUAGUUCCUUUAGAAAAUGGCUUGAUGGAAAUUGAGAAAAUCAUAGUAUAUGGACUUGGAUUUGAUUCCUAAUGAUAUAUAUGGAUUUACAAGACUGUGUAGACAUCGAUUAGUAUGUUAGUUCGGAAUCGGAAUGAAUUUCGAAAAAUGGUGAAGUUAGUCAAAAAUCAAGUUCAUUGUAAUGCUUUGGUGUAUUAGAUUAUUGGACGUGUAAUGAAUAUAUUUGGAGUUGAAUCGGAUGUUUUGUUUAUAUCAAUGGUGUAUAGUUCGAAUUAAGUUGAAUACAAAUUCCUUUCGAUCACAAUUGAACCUACAUAGAACACCGUCUUUAAGUGACUAUCUGAACAUUUAUCAUUCAACUUCAUGCAUUCAUAUAGAGUUUGAAAUAGUUUUAUAACAAUUUGACACCAAUGUAUUGAAUUACGUAUCGUGUAUUAUGGAUAGGUGUUGAACCCUCCGAUAAGGGUAGAGAUAGCGUGCCGAAGGACCGCGAAUAGGAGUACUCUGACCACUCCAAAUUCCCAUUAUAGUGAGUAAUCAGAUGUUCAUCUUAAUUAUCUAAAGUGGUUUAUACUUGUUUUAAGAUUUUAAAGAAUAAGGCACUUAAUUUGCAAAUUAUUAUGUUUUACAUUUUAAAUAUUGGUUAAAUGAAUGAGAUUUAUAAAUUAUUCUGAAACUAAAUGUUGAUUUUUGAAAUAGAGUAAGUGGAGGUUAUACAUUCGUAUUAUAUAUAUAUACAUGAUUUGAAUUAAUGGCUUAUGAAAUUGUGGUAGCAUGAAUGGUUGAAAUUGUGGUUUUGUGAAUUAUAUAAAUUGUUUUGCUUUACAUUGACAGGUUGGAUAGUACUAUGUUAGCCAUGUUAUCCUGCCAAAAUUUUAUUGAUUUGGUGGGUUAUGUAUUUAGCUUACUGUAGUGGGCGGGUUUUCGUAGACUAGCCUAUUAGAGGGGCACGAUAAACCCCGUUAUAUUUACCUUAGUACGAGAGGCGCGGAGGGUAUCUCCUAAGGUAAAGUUUAGAGUUCACUUCACGCCGAAGCACCACGUGAAAGUGAAACUCAGCCAACGCCAAGGAACGGCUAUGUUUUUAAACGUGAAAACAUAUUUUAUGUGUAUAUGUCUUUUUAACUGCCUUGGCAAACUCGGCUUGAUGCCCGGCGCAAGGCAUCAUCGAGUACUAAUUUUUGGCAUGAGCCAAGUUUUUAAGAAAGUCAUAACGCUUGUUGAUUUUCUUGAUGAAAUGUGAUUGUUUUUACAUGGAUUGAAAUGGGCUUUGAUGUUAUGAAUUAUAUAUAUAUAUUGAUGAGAUGAUUUAACUGUCUCCAUUUACUCGACUUUAGAUGCUACAGACGAACUCUACUUACUCACUGAGUUAAUAAAACUCACCUUUUCUUUUUUUUAACCAUUUUAGGCUCAGGAUAGUCUGUAGAUAGCUGAUUUCGUCGAUGAUCUACUUUUGGAUUUACAUCCUUAGAAAUCGAAGGUCUACCUUCUUGUACAUAUUUGUUUAUUUUGGAAGCCCACAUGUCAUUGUAGAAUAUUUUGUAUACCUGGCUACGUGUGCCACUGUAUGUAUGAAUUUAUUUUGCUUUUACGUUACAAAAAUUAUUUACGCAGAGUUCUAUAAAUAUUAUUUUAUAAGAAAAUAGAAUUUUUUUUAAUAUUUUUAUUUAAUUUGAAUAGCUAUAAUUUUACUUUAAAUUGAUGAAUUAGAUAAUGAAACUUAUUUUUAGACAUGAAAUGGAUGCUUAUUACUCAUAUAUCAUAUUUUUACCAAGGUUCAAAAAUUUUGGAUAAAAUGACCAAAAUACCCUUGUGUAGUAGAAAUUACUUUUUGAUUGUUUUUUAUUUGAAAUUAGUCUAUAUUUCUUUAAAACAUGAUAUUUAAUAACUGUUGCUCACAAGGGAGAAGUAAAAUUGAUGCGAAAACCUUGCGAGGUUUCGAUUGGUAUUCCGGGUAAUAAAUGUCAAUCGAGACAUCGCGGCAAUUAUCACAGACUCGAUGGGAAUUUCGGGUCGUGACAAUUUUGGUUAAAAUAGAUAUUUUUAUAAGAUAAGUCAGGAGACCCAUAUAAAUAAUUUAGGACUCUAGGUUAGCAAUUCAACCCAUUGAAAUAAGUUAAGUAAGAGAGGUAAGAUUUAGAUGAAGUGUGAGGGAUGUUGUAAUCCUAAGCUUGUUUGAUUUGAUAUUUACUUAAGUUAUUAUUAUUUUGAAUUUUUGUAGUUUAAAUUUUGGUUAAGUAUUUUUGAUUAGUUAAUUUAGUUAUUUGAUAUUGAUUAUUUAGAUAAGAUUAAAUUAUUCUAAUUUUAGUACUUAGUAAAAUUUUAAGUCAAUUCUUGUGGGACGGAUACUUUGCGCAGUAGAAUUUUAACUGAUAGUUGGGAAAAUGAAAAAAACCCCUCAGUUAAUCAUCCUUCCAUUGUUGCCCCUGAUAUUAAAAUGUUGUCUAGUGAUGAGUGUUGGGAAAUCCUAAGAUAAGUUGACUUUUACCCAACAUUUCAAAUUGAGUUCUUCUUGAAUAAUGCACUUUUGGUAUAGCCUUCAAAACAUGUGUAACAUUUGUGAGUUCCUCAUUCUUGUCCUUUGUUAUUGCAUCUUGAACCAAACAAGCUACAAUCUCACAGCCCAAAUCUUGACCCAUGACUGGUGCAUGGACCCAAUAGGAAUGGCCCACUGGGCCCAAGCAAGCCUUUCUAUGAAAACUUGUUCAUUUGACCCUCUGUCCCUCAUUUACCGCUAAAGUUCUUAAUUCAUAGUUUUCAAAAAUAAUUUUUUCUCAAGAAUAAAUCAUGGUAACCGAACAUAUUCCAUUCAAAAAAUAAUAUUACGAUUUGCCAACCUGUGGCGACAUUAUUAUGCAAACCAAACAUACAGUGUUUACAACAAAUCUCAUGAAUUUCAUUUAAAUAACCAUAUACACAUACAAAAGACCUUGACUAUCAAUGGAGUUAUUUUGGCGUGGGUACUAUCAUGAAGUGUCUUGGUAAACCUACCAUACGAUGAACAGGAAGAAGCACCUCUACCCAAGAUUCAACUACCUUCGAACUUGAAAACUAAAUAUAAAGUUGAAAAGAAUGAGUAUAAACCUAGUGAGUAAACAUAGGAAGGGAACAAGCAUACGAUACGAAAGGUUUUUGAAAACAUGAUGCACUCAUUUUAAAAUCAUGCAAUUUGUAUAUCAUAAACACCUUGAUACCAUGUUGACAUUUAACUCAUUUUAAAACACUUAGGAAAUUCAAUGUUCAAUAAUCAAUGCAAUCACAUCUCAUUUUAUAAACAUCCCUGCUCUACAAGGUAGGUACACAAGCGUGUAAGAAUUCAUGUAUACAUUUUGUGUGUGUGUAUAUAUAUAUAUAUAUUCAAACAUUCAUCAAAUAUAUCAAGAUCAUUCCCACACUAGUCAACAUGGCUCAACGCAUACAACCACCAGCUUAUCAGCUCAUGUGCACUCCCACACCACACAUAGCUGGAAUCAUCAUGUGCACUCCCACACCGCACAUGGCAAAUAUCAUGUAUGCAUACUAUCAAACCCUGUUCUAUAAAAUAAUUACGACGUCAUUUACAUGCUCAAUAGAAUGUUUACAUAUUUAGGAAGUUCAAGAAAUCAUUAACAAACGAUAUUGCCCCUAAUGGUACCAUUAAGUCAAUUAAGCCUCGAACUAAUUCAAAUAGCAAUUUUAAGGUGAAAUUAAGAGUUUCAUAGCCCAGGGAUGACUCAAAAUGGUAAUUUGGAGUUCGAGGAUCAAUUUGGAGUCAAACCGAAAUUUUCACUAUCUAGGGGCAAAAUGGUCAUUUGCCACCUGGUGACAAAAUGAGAAUUUUUAGAAACGAUUUUUUUGGCCCCAUUUGACUUAUUGGAGUAUGAUUUGAGUAUUGGAGUAUGAUUUGAGGUUUAGAAGUGAAAAAUUUUAAUUUUGGUAUAAUUUGGAGUAUAGGGGCGAAAUGGUAAUUUUGCCAUCCUAGGGGCAAAACCGUAAUUUUGAACCUCCAGAGCAUUUUUCCAGCACAAGGUCUUCACCCAUCAUCAUUUUUGACCCUUGAAUAAUGUGUGGUGGAGAUUUAAAGCUUAAAAGAUAAGAAUUAAAAAAAAUGGACCAAUCAUGGAAUGUCAUGUGGUAAGUUUAAAUUAUUAUAUUAUUUAACUAUAAAAAUCAGCCCACACCACCAUUUCUCUCUCAUAAGGGUCGGCUUUGGCAAGAAAAUAAAGGGGAAAAGAAGAACAUACCCUAGGUGGAAAGAAAUUCAAGAGAAAAGUGUGAAUUUUCAAGAAAAUCAAGUGGAAAAAGGUGAAAUUUUUUUAUUUUAGUUUAUGAACUAUUUUUUCUAUGCAUUUUCCCUUAAUUUCCAUGGUUGAAAAGCAUGCUUUCAUGGUGAAUUCAUGGCUGGUCAAAAUGGGUAUGGAGAGAGAAUGAUCUUGGAUUGGUUUGAUUUUUAGGUAUGUUAGUGUUUUUAGGUGAUUAAUGAUGUGUUGCAUGAAAACAAGUGAAGAAAACCACCAAAGGUUUAGUGUCCAUCAAUAGCCAAAUUCUCUAAGUGAAUAAUGAGGAAGAAUGGGAUGUUAUUCUAGGUGAUUUGAUUAAGAAAUAAUAGUUUUUGGUGUAGGAAUUAAUAAAUUAUGGAGAGAAAAUUAAGUAGGAAAAAUCAUGGAGUUAGUGUACCAUUGUUAGCCGAAAGUUCCAAGAAGAAAAGUGAAGAUAAAUUUUGCCUAAUUGUGUGUUAAUUAGUUUGUGUUUGGUGAAUUGAGGGAUUGGAAAAGAAAUGGAGCAAAUUGGAGUGAAAUUGGACACAUUGGCCAAUUUAUGGAAUGAAAAAUCGACUUAGGCCAAUACCGGGUCUAGAUGGCUACCCGUGCAUUUUUUCAUUUCAUAUCAUGCAUAUAUAUAUAUAUAUAUAUAUAUAUAUAUAUAUAUAUAUAUACNNNNNNNNNNNNNNNNNNNNNNNNNNNNNNNNNNNNNNNNNNNNNNNNNNNNNNNNNNNNNNNNNNNNNNNNNNNNNNNNNNNNNNNNNNNNNNNNNNNNNNNNNNNNNNNNNNNNNNNNNNNAUAUAUAUCGAGCCUGAAAUAGCUUAUGACUGUUAGACACAAUUUAAUUGGAAUAUGUGUCAUGGAUUAUGGCUAGUUGAUGAGUCAUUGGAUACGGGUAAAGAACUGUACCCACGGACUGAAAAUAGGAGUAUUUCUACUCCUAAUACUAUGAGUGGACAAUUUAUCGUCUUAAAUAUCUAGAGUAAUUAUACUUGUUUGAUGCUUUUAUUGAAUGGUGAGUUUAAAUUAUAAAAUAUUAUGUUUUUCAAUUAAAAUGUUUUUUAAUUAAAAUGAGAUUUAUACUGUUUUUGAAAUUAAAUAUUGUUUUGGGAAAAUUGAGUAUAUGAAGACUGUGUUGAAUUUAUGAUUUUAUAUGUUAUUGAAAUUGUGGCUUAUGACACUAUGGUAGCAUGAUGGCUAAAUUUUUGGGGUUGGCAUGAAAUAUAUGAACAGUUUUGGAUUGGUCUCGGUAGACUGGAUUAAAUUUUAUUCGCCAUAUUAUACUACUAAAAAUUUUAUGGGUCUGGUGGCAUAUUAAACGAUCACUGCAGUGGUGGGGGUUUUCGUGGACUGCCUAUGAAAAAGGCACGAUAACCCCAUUAUAUACUUACCUCCAAGGGAAGAUGUUGGAUAAAGUAUCUCCUGAGGUAAGAUUUGAGUGCACCUCACGUUCGGGCUACCAUGUGAGAGUGAGACUCAGCCAACGCUAAGAAAUGGUUGUGUGUCAAAUUCGAAAGCAUGUUUAUGGGUAUGGGAUAUUUAACAGCCUUGGCGAUCUCAGUGGGAUACCUUGACGAAGGUACCCGCGAGAAUG
rnacentral:lncRNA from 1 species